rnacentral:lncRNA from 1 species
AGUCUAUGAUAUAAUAUUAUUUAUUUAUUUAUUUAUUAUUUAUAGAGGAUAACAAUAACAAUGUUAUGAUAUGGCCUAAGGUAUCGUUUGGUUCGGGGAUAAGCAAAAAGUAGGUAUUCUAGGUAUUCCAGGGAUAGGUAUAAAUUGAGGUAUAAGCGAGGAUUAGAUCAAUUUUGUGUUUGGAUGAAAAUUGAGUUAUUGCUGGGAAUAAGAAAAAUAGCGUUUGGUUAGGUAAGAUGGGAUAAGAAUUAAAGUUGGUAGUUAAAAAUAAAAAAUAACGAUAUUAUCUUUUUCUUUAUAUUAGAAUUUAAACUUUUAUAUUUUAUAUUUAUAUUUUAAAAGUUAAAAUAUAAACUUUUAAUUUAAAAAUUAAAAUUAAAAUUUUAAAUUUUAAAAUCUCAAAUUUAUAAUUUUAAAAAAUUAAUUUUUUAAAGUUUGAACAUUAAAUUUAAGAUGAAAUUUUAAUUUAAAAAAUAACAUAUCAAAUUCUAAAUAUAAAAAAAAUUAAAAUAUCAAAAUUUUAAAUUUUAAAUUAAACAAUUUAAAAUUUAAAUUUUUAAUUUUGUAAUUUUAAAAUUAUAAAUUUUAAUUUUUGAAUUUAUAAUUUAAAUUUUAUAAUAAAUUAAAAAUUCUCUCUCUCUCUCUCUCUCUCUCUCUCUUCAUGGGUGGAACAAGCAGGGUGAUCCUAAAAAUACUUUCUUUUAAAUUCAAAAAUUAAAAUUUUUAAUUUUAAAAUUUAAAAUUUAAGAUCAAAUUUAAAUUUUAAAAUAUAAAUAUCAAAUUUAUAUUAAAAAAUAUAAAAUUUAAAUUUAAAAUUUAAAAUUUAAAAUUUAAAAUUUAAAACUAUAAACUUGAAUUUUGAAAUUACCAAUUAUAAAUUUUUAAAACUAAAAUUAAAAUUAAAAUUUUUAAUUUUUAAUUUUUUUAAAAAAAUAGGGGUGGGAACAACUUGUUCCCACCCCUAUUCCACCUAGUGUUUGGGGAACAAGGGGGGGAUAACCCCUUAUCCCCACCCUUGUUCCCCAACCAAACAUGGCCUAAGUGAAUAGAAAUAUUUUAUUUUUUUUGAGAGAAAGAUAGUAUGCUAUCUGCUUCGUUUAUUUUAUUUAGAAAUAAAUUUAACUGAAAAUGUGAAUCAACAAGAAUUCAAACUUGGGUCUCGGGCACCAACCGCUAAAACCUUUUGCCACUUGCGCUAGGGACGAUCGGUGAAUAGAAAUAUUGAUUUUUUUUUUUUUUGAGAGAUAGGUAGCACGCUACCCGCUUCGUUUAUUUCAUUAGAAAUAAACUUAGCUGGAAAUGUGAAUGAAUAAGGAUUCGAACUUGGAUCUCGGGCACCAAUCGCCAAAUCCUUUUGCCACUUGCGCUAGGGACGAUCGAUGAAUAGAAAUAUUGAUAUGGCCGGAACUACAUGUGGACACGCAUUUUUAUACAUAACAGAAGUAUACAUUUUCAAAUCAAGGUCAAGUUUGGUACUAUGGUGAUUAAAAUCACUUUUCAUAUUUUGAAAAUUUUAAAAAUUUUAAAAAUAUUUUUAAUAGAGUUUCUGUUUUUUUCUUCAAUAAUAUACAAUUACUGUGGUUAAAAGUAUUGUGGUGCUUUCCAAUUUUUUUCUUUCUUUUAUGGGGGCAAAAUAUUAGAAUAACUGCAUUAUUGGUUCCCAACAUUUUACUUUUUUUUUUUUAAUUUUAUUUUGGCCUCCAAACUUUCAUCUAUCAUGUUAAAGGGUCUAGCUGUUCUCAAUAUUAUUCUUUACAUUUACAACCUUCUCGACCACGCACAUGAUAUCUACUGUCUCUUUUAGAGUAUUUAGUGUUCUUAAUAUUAAGUCUGACAUGUCACUGAUUCUUCAUAAACAAAUUUAAAAAAACAUCGUUAGAAUUAAUUCAUAAACCUGAUCUAUACAGGUAGAAGUGUUUUAUUGGAGUUGAUGCAUUCUACUCUAUCAAAGUAAGAAAAAAAUUAAAUAAUUGAGAUCCCACCAAAAUGAAAUGUAAAGCUUAGAAAUCUAGUAGCCAAAAGGCCCAAAACUAAAAGAUCAAGCAGGGACCAAAGUUCAAAAAAAAAUAAUAAUAAAGAAGAUAAAGAUUAGCGACAAAUAGUGUAAUUAACCUUUUAAUCUAUGUUUGGUCUUUGACUAUUAUGUCACGCUACCAUGUUUUUCAAAAAAAAAGAAAAAAAGAAAAAGAAAAACUCUAUGCUACUGAGCUACAUAGGUGGGUGGUUAUUAAAAUGCUACGAGGAUGCGUUUGGAAAGAUUACUAGGAAUAAAAGAUAUCCGAGAAUUUUAUUACUAUUCAUUCUAUUACUAAGAAUAUGGAAUUCCUAUGUUUGGUUCGCACGGUAAUAUUAAUUAGCCAUGUUAUUUAAUAUUACAAAAAAUAUACAAUUAAUUAAUUAAUUUAUUUAUUUAAUUUUAGAUAAUGUUACUAAAAGUUUCAACAUUUUUUUAGAAAAAAGGGAGAGAGAGUAUAAUUAAAAAAAUAGAAAGAAAAAUAUAGUCGAAAUUAGAGGAAGUAAGAGAGUUGAAAUUUUAGAAAGAGAGAGAGAAAGCUUAGUUUAGAGAGAGAAAAAAAGUUGAAUUUUAGAGAGAAAAAUAAGUUUAGAGAGAGAUAUAAGGUUAGAGUGUAACGAAAAAUAAUAUCAAUUAGCCGGCGGGUAGGAAGAAAGAAAGAGAUUAGACAUAUUAUGAUUAUCCCAAUCUAUUAAUAUAAAGAUACCCACCCUCCCUCAAGGGAAUGAGAUUAGUACUUUAGGGUGAAUCUUAUUCCCAAGUGAAUCCAAUAUUACCAACUAGAUUACUUAGUGCGUUUAGCCAAACACCGUCAUAUUUUUUUAUUCCCAUUAGAUUACUAGAAAUCUUUAAAAGAUAGCGCGAACCAAACGCGCCCUAAAGGUCACAUUUUUCAUCAAGAUUAGGAGAUUAUUAGGUGCAAUAGUGUAAAGCAUAGGGUCAAGUAACAUGGAACGGGGAUUCAAAAAUAAUAACCUAGGAUUUUGUUUCUUUUAAAUUUUUUUUUUUUUUUAAGGAAAUAGAUGAAAUGUUGCCUUUAUGUUUCAAUUAAAUGAAGUUAUUCACGCAUUGCGACAGAUUAAAACUAUAAAAGACAGAAUAUUGAUAAAAUAAAAAUUUUAAAAUUUUUUAACUUCUCAUGAGAUAUCAAUAAAUACAAGAAAAAACUUCAAAUACUAUUCCUGUGGUUUCGUACUUUUUUUUAUUUUAGUACCCUAUGAUUUAUAGUGUAUUAAUUUAGUACCUGUGGUUUUAUUUUUCGCAUUUUAUCAAUCCCUCCAUUAAUUAUUUUCGUUAAGUCAGUGACAAAGUUAAAACUAAAAGAUAUUAAAGUAAAUAUCUUAGUGGUUGUGCCACACUUUGGAAGAGCCCGAUUGGGGUCCUGCAUUCCUGUUUUAAUUACACAAUAAUUUUAGUGGUUGUGCCACAUUUUAGAAGAGCCCGAUUGGGGUCCUGCACUCCUGUUUUAAUUGCACAGUACACCAACUCUAAAUUAUGUGUCAAAUAUAAAUUUAUAUUAUAUAAUAAAUUAUUUAAAUAUUUUAUAUUAUAUUUUAUUUUAUACUACUGAUUAUUAAAUAUUUUAUUAUUAUUUAAUAUACUGUAUGAUGUAUGAAGCAUUAGUAUAUAUAUACCAGGUGCAAGAAAAAAUUUAUUCUCUCUCUUGAAACUAUGAGUGCAUUAAAUUAAGCAUUCUUUGCAUCAAGUGCAUAUGUGCACCAGAUGUAUAUGUGUAUAUAUAUCAGAUACUUAAAACUCUUUAAUAGAGAUUGAAAAAUCUAAUUCAUUCAAUAGAACUUAAAUUAUUAACUUUAUAGGUCAUAUAUGUUUAAUUAAAUUUUGAUAUCAAAAAUAUUUAUCAUCAUCUAUUANAGUGCAUUAAAUUAAGCAUUCUUUGCAUCAAGUGCAUAUGUGCACCAGAUGUAUAUGUGUAUAUAUAUCAGAUACUUAAAACUCUUUAAUAGAGAUUGAAAAAUCUAAUUCAUUCAAUAGAACUUAAAUUAUUAACUUUAUAGGUCAUAUAUGUUUAAUUAAAUUUUGAUAUCAAAAAUAUUUAUCAUCAUCUAUUAUAAGUUGUGAUGUAUAGAAUGUUAAUAUAAAUCAUGUGCAUAUAACUUUUUAGUUAGAAAUGUUAUUUAUACAAUAGUUUUCAAAACUAGUAAAUUUGAUUAAUUUUUAAAUAAAGUUAUUAGAAUAAUAUAACUAUUCAAAAUUAAGAAAAUAUUAAUAAAAAAAUAUUUUUUGUAAUGUAUAUAACACUAUUUGAUAAUAUUUGUAUUUAGUUAUAAUUUUUUAAUCUUAUAAGUUUAAUAAUUAUAUAUAUUUUAGUAUUUUACUUGAUUGACAUUCAAUCAACCCGCUACAAAGCGCGGGCCCUGCACUAGUAUAUAAUGAAUCCUCAGUCUUGUUAAACACGUGGCAGGGAAGGGGUGCGGGUGCGAGAGCGGAGGGGGCGGAGAUGGGUGUGGGGCCAGGCAGGUGGGAGAGGGGGAGGAUGUGGUGGCCUAUUUUGUUUUUGGGAAUAUUUGAACAUGCAUGUGGCGUUUUAGUUCUCAAACUUUAAUUAAUUAUAAUUUUUGAAAUUACUAAUUAAACAAAAUCGAUCGAUGGUCAAUUUUAUCUUCGUUCGGAAUAAAACUAAAAUAUAAAAAAAGAUAAAUUACGCUUUUGAUUCUAAACUAUAAAACACGUGACAUUUUAGUCUUCAAAUUUUCAUGCUUUUUUUUUUGCUCAAACUAUAUAUGUGACGCUUUAGUUCUCAAAUUUUAAUUAAUGUAAUUUCUAGCUCGAACUAUAAGGCAUAUGAUAUUUUAAUCCAAAACUUUUAUUAUUGCUAUAAAUAUAAUUUAUUAUUAUGAUAAUUUUUUAUUUUUUAUUCUUCUUAUAAUUUUUUUUUAUACUUUUAAUGCAACUGUUUCUUCUUCAAUUUUUUUAUUAGGAUAAUUGCCUAUAUACCCCUCAUAUGUUUGGAAAUAUCCGAUCUACCUUUACUCUUUUUUUUCUUUCUAAAAUACCCCUCAUAUGUUCCACCGUUAUUCUAAAGUACAACCACAGUUAUCCCCUGUUAGCUUAACUCGGGUUAAAUAUGGGUUAAUGUAUACUAGAGUUAAAAUCUAAAUAAAAUACCUAUUUUGCCCCUACCUUAUUAUACUAAUUCCUUAAAUUAUCCUCUCCUCUCCCAACAUGGUCGCCGGCUCCUCCGCCUCCACCUCGCCUCAUCUUCUCCCAGACCACCACCACCUCCCACAUCCCCACCUCCAACACCACUCCUCUCGCCGCUCUCGUCGUCGUCCUCCUCCUCCUCCGCCGCCUUGGCCGAAGCCGGGAGCAAGAGGGCCACAGCGACGAUCCCGUCUCUCACCACUCUCGUCGUCCUCCUCCGCCGCCGCUCUCGUCGUCGUCCUCCUCCUCCUCCGCCGCCUUGGUCGGCGCCGGGAGCAAGAGGGCCGCAGCGCCAUCGGACCCCUACACGCCCUCCGCUCCGGAUCCGGCUCCGAAUCGACACCCUGCACGCCCUCCGGGCGGUCCACGAGGUCAGUUUGGCCUCGUGGACCGGAUGAGAGGGAGGUCAGGGAGGUCCACCGUGGACCUCCCUCUCAUUAUAUAUAUAUAUAUAUAUAAGGUCAGUUUGACCUCGUGGACCUCCCUCUCAUUAUAUAUAUAUAUAUAUAUAUAUAUAAGGUCAGUUUGCCCUCGUGGACCGGAUGAGACGGAGGUCCGCCGUGGACCUCUCUCUCAUUAUAUAUAUAUAUAUAUAUAUAUAUAUAUAUAUAUAUAUAUAUAUUAUUAUAUAAUAUUUUAUUUAUAAAUUUGUAAUUAUUUAUUAAUAUUUUUAAAUGAUAUUAUUAAUAUAUGUUUAUUAUAAUUUUAAAUAUAUUUAAUCUAUAUAUAAAAAUUAUAAUAAUAAUAUAUAUAGUAUAUUAAUUAUUAUAUAUUUAUUAUAUAGCCGAAUUUUUGAUCCCGAAUUUUUAAUUGGUAAACGUAUAAUACCCGUAUAAAUCAUGUAUCCGAAUAAUCGUCGAAUCCGUUUUUUAACCGUAUUUUCAACGAAUUUAAAAAUUAAAAGACGAAUUUUAUCCGAAUUAUAUCCGUACCGAAUUUUUGCCGAAUCCGAAUUAACUAACUAUGCCUCCAGCCACCAAGGUUGGUUUAGCUGCGAUCGAUUUCAUUCGUUCAUUUGCUCGCUCCCGACGUACUUAAUUAAUUAAUUGAUAUUUGAAGGGCAAAUAAGAAAAAUAUUUGCUAUAUGAAGGGUAUAUAAGAAAAGUUAGUUACGGUACAAAGUAUAUUGGAAUGAGCAAAAUGAUAAUUUUUAAGAGAUAAUAGCAGCUCACCAACGGAACUCAACUCCAUGAGUAUAUUAGAAAAACUUGGAAUAUAGAAGGAUAUUUUCAAUAUUAAUCUUCUAAGAAGAAUAAAUAAAAAAAUGAAAAAUUUUUCAAAAAUAUAUAGGCAAUUGCACCUUUUUUAUUCAUGUUCUCUUUUAUUCUUUGAUUUUUUUUUUUACUUUUUAAAUUUUAUUUUAUUUAUUAUUUAUUUUAAAGAAUCGGCUUGCCACAUUGCCCCUUUUUUACUUUUUUAUUUAUUAUUUAUUUUAUAAUUGAACUCACAAUCUCAUAUAAAAAAAAAUUUUUAAAUUAAUUAUUACAUCAUAUUAUCCAAAAGAUCGAUUUAAUCAAUACACGCCUAAAAAAAAUUUCAUAAAAUACCACCCACAAAUAGCAAACAAAAACCAGGUCAACACGCACCACGGAUCACCGUCCAACUCAUCCCUCAAUCCAUCAAACGGAAUCUCCACCGUGGGUUCUACUUCAUCUCCUCUCUCUCUCUCUCUCUCUCUCUCUCUCUCUCUCUCUCUCUUCCCUGUAAACCGCAACCCUUUAUAUAGAAAACCCAAGCGUAAGCAUCCAUGUCCUCUCUCCCUAUAACAACCAAAACCUGCACACACAAUAACAAUGGUACGUAGUCACGCAGCAAGCCGCCCUAUUUCUCUCCGUCCUGCGCCGCGCCCGCUUCUUUUCCUCUCCUGGGGAGACGAGAAGAGGCGGGAAUGGCCGCUGCCGCAGGGGAAGAAGAGUCGGUGGAGCGGCUGUUCGAGAGCUGCAGGGAGGUGCCGAAAUGGACGGAGCAGAUCACCGCGCGGGCGCUCGUCGUGAGCCUCAUGCUGGGGUUCUUCCUCAGCUUCAUCGUCAUGAAGCUGAACCUCACCACUGGUAUCAUCCCGUCGCUCAAUGUCUCCGCAGGGUUGCUCGGGUUCUUCCUCGUGAAGAUGUGGACGAAGGCGCUCGAGCAGGUCGGCGUGCUCAACCGGCCCUUCACCCGCCAGGAGAACACCGUUAUCCAAACCUGCGUCGUCUCAUGCUCCGGAGUCGCAUUUAGCGGUAAGUACAUAUACGUACGUGCCUGCAUGCAUGCGGAAAAAAAAAACCAAAACAAAAAACAAAAUUGAAAGAAAAUUGUUUAUUGAUGAUAACUUUUUGGAAUUCUGAAAACGACAAAAUAAGGUGCAUGACAUGAACACGAGCGAAUUGGACUAAAGAUCCAACUCGCUGUUCGCGAGGCAAUUUGUGUUCAACUCAAAAAUGGGUUCGAGAUUGAAUCACUCAUUUAAUAAAUGAGCCGAACAUGUGCUAAAUUUUUCAACUCGAUAUCUUAACAUGCUGAACGCGAGCUGGGAUCAACUUACUCAUAUUCGGCUUGAUAUAGCUCAAAUACACAUACUUUAUAUUUAUAUAUUUUGCAUAUUAUAUAUAUAUAUAUAUAUAUAUAUAUAUAGAGCUAGUAUCCUAGGCUCCGGUACUAUAGUCUCGUUUUCGAUCUUAGAGUGUUCAAAUCAACGAUCCACACCGUUACAACUGAUCUAGGAUAUUUAAAAUUUUUAAAAAUAAAAUUUUAUAUUUUUUUGACAUAGUUUACUUUAUGAUCAAACCAUUUCAAAAUUGUCAAUUUUCAAAAGCUACUAUGGCGAGUUUGGAGUUUAACGGUGUAGAAAAAUCUAAAUUUCUUCAAAUUUUGAUAGAAAAUACUUUAAACUAUCUAGAUUAAGGUUAACAUUCUUGAUCUUGAAUUUAAAAGUCCUAUACUCAAAUUUUAAAGAUUAUUCAAUUUCCACCGUCCAUUUUGACAUAAUUUAUUUACUAAGUAAACGAUGUCGAAAAAAACUAAAAUUUUAUUCCUAAGAACUUCAUAAACCCUAGAUCAUAUUUAACGGUGUGGAUCGUUAAUUUGAGCACCCUAAGAUCGAAAACAAGACUAUAGUACCGGAGCUCCGAUACUAUAGAUAGUAUAGUAGCCUAAUUCUAUAUAUAUAUAUAUAUAUAUAUAUAUAUACAUGCAAAAAUACAAACUUCUACUAUUUGAAUUAUGGUCCAAUCCAAAUGUAAAGUGGUCCAUUUAUUUUAUAAAUUUCAACCCUUAGAGAAUUAUGGUUAUUUCACUAAUUUAAUAUAGUAUAGAGCAGAAUAUCCCGAGUUCGAGUCCAGUCAGACUCCUAAUAUUAUUAUUUUUUUCCCAUUUAAUUUAAAUCCACAUCUUAACCUGUAAGUUCUGGCAUAAGAGAGAGUGCUGAAAUAUUAAAACUACUAUUAUAUGAUAAUUUAAAUUUUUAGAGAAUAAUGAUUAUUUCGCAUAAUUUAACAAGGUGGCUUUGGGAGCUACAUACUUGGGAUGAGCAAGCAGGUGGCGCACGGCUUGGAGGACGCCAAGUCGGAUCUCAACAUCAAGGAGCCCUCUCUCGGUUGGAUGAUCGCUUUCCUUUUCCUCGUCAGCUUCAUUGGCUUGUUUUCCAUCCUGCCCCUGAGGAAGGUACAUCGUAAUAUCCGAUUAAUGACUUCAUUUUGUUAAAUUUCAUACAGAUUGCAACAGUUCAGUUUGUAGGAAUGUACAGAAUUUAAUCAUGCUUCUGCAUCAAACCUAAUUUAAUUUCUCUUACCAAGAAAUAACAUGACAUGACAAAUAGUUGGCACAUUACUACGUGCUUAUGACAUGAGAGCAGGCUGAUUUAGCAAACACAUCAUCUUCAAAAGCUGACGCAACUACAGUAGUCACAAUGUCUCACCAUUGAUGUUCAUCUUGCAGAAUUAAUGCCUCCAUUUUGAUGACCCAAGUGAAAUUUCAAGCAUCUACGCUGAUGAUAUAAUACUUACAGAAGCUCCAAUAAUGCUAGACAAACCGCGAGUUAAUUAAUUUGAAGCUUGUUAUGAUCUUUAUCAAGAACAAGAAGUUGUAAAUACUGAAUCAAUUAUAAUUUUCUUUCCCUCAGAUCAUGAUCAUUGGGUACAGGUUAACAUACCCAAGUGGCACCGCAACAGCUCAUUUGAUCAACAGUUUCCACACCCCUCAAGGAGCCCUUCUGGCAAAGUAUACUUCAGAGAACUAUAAUCACCACCAGUUUGGUUAUAGUUUACAUCCUUUUUCUGUAUUUUAACUAUGUGGUUCUUCUUCCAAUUCAUUCUACUCUCUCCAGGCAACAAAUUUCUCUCCUGUUCAAAUCCUUCAGUGCCAGCUUCUUAUGGUCCUUCUUCCAGUGGUUUUACACAGCAGGAGAAGGCUGUGGCUUCGCUGCGUUUCCGACGUUUGGGCUCACAGCUUAUAAGAACAGGUAUUUAGGAUGAGAUCCCUUUUGUGUUCCUUGUUAAAAACGAGGUUAAAAUGUAUGGAUAGCCCCUUAGCUUCUGGAAAUCACAAUUGAUCCCUGCACAAUUCUUACAGAUGUUAGAGAUUUUGGACAAGAGACACAACCAGGGAUGAUAGUUUAAGAAAUUAUACAAGUCUAGGAACUAACCUGUUUUACAAAAAUAUUAGAGACCAACUUGUAACUCAUCUAAAUUUCAUGGACUACCCAUGUAUUUUAUCCUAAAAUGGAGUAUCCUUUCAUUUGCUUAUGUGUGGACUUUUGUAGAAGAACAUGUAAUGAAUGCAUGUAUGAUUGUUUCUUCUCAGAUUUUACUUUGAUUUCUCUGCAACCUAUGUGGGUGUGGGAAUGAUUUGCCCUUACCUGAUAAACAUUUCGCUGCUUCUCGGCUCCAUCAUCUCUUGGGGGAUCCUGUGGCCAUACAUCAACAGCAAGAAAGGAGAGUGGUAUGAUGCUGCUCUCCCCCACGACAGUUUGCACGGCCUCACUGGAUACAAGGUAAAGUAUACAUCUGUACAUUUAUGAACCACAAAUUCAUGUCCAACUAGAAAGAAAAAAAAAAAAAAAAAAGACUGUCUCUCAAGUCUUUUCCACCACAAACUGUUGCGGGAAAACUGUUGUUUGCACUUGAUAUAUCCGUACAUUCAUGCACAACAAAUUCAUGUCCAAAUGGUCCCCCAUGAAUUGUUAAGCUUGGAAUCCCAUAUAGUGCCCUGAAUUGCAUGUGUGCAUGAAUCAAAGCUUCCCCCGUUAUGUAUCGAAGCACAUCAGCAGCCCCUGAAGGCAGGAUUUUGGGCGAUUUAUAGUAGUACUCCAAUUGAGGUACAAUGCGUUACUAUUUGCAACUUUUUAAAUCUUUUUAAAUUACAAUGCAGGUAUUCAUAUCAAUUGCCAUGAUCCUGGGUGAUGGUCUCUUCCAAUUUCUCGCUGUUCUCUUCCACACCACCUAUGACAUGUACACUAAGCGCCGCCAGCGGGACCCUGUCACGCCUUUCUCUACUAGUGGAAGCAACGAAGGCUCUUCCCACUCCUCGUCCUCAGACCCAACCCUCAACUUUGACGAUCGCCGUCGCACCAAGGUCUUCAUCAAGGAUCAAAUCCCCAGCGCCACUGCUGCAGUAGGCUACAUCCUCCUUGCCAUCAUCUCCCUUGUGGCCGUCCCUCACAUCUUCCCUCAGCUCAAAGCGUACCACAUCAUUGUUGCCUACGCCGUGGCGCCGCUCCUUGCCUUCUGCAACUCGUAUGGCUGUGGUCUCACUGACUGGUCCCUCGCUAGCAGCUAUGGUAAGCUCGCCAUCUUCAUCUUCGGCGCGUGGGUUGGUGCCAGUGGCGGUGGCGUGGUCGCCGGCCUCGCUGCUUGCGGUGUCAUGAUGGGCAUUGUCUCCACUGCCUCCGACCUCAUGCAAGACUUCAAAACAGGCUACCUUACCCUUACUUCCCCGCGCUCUAUGUUUGUUUCACAAAUCAUCGGCACUGCCAUGGGCUGUGUUAUUGGGCCUGUCGUGUUUUGGAUCUUCUACAAAGCCUACCCGCUGGGAGACCAAAACUCCGAAUACCCAGCUCCAUAUGCAAAGGUAUUGUAAUAUUCUAUCAUUGUUUUAAGCAGAAUCCUGGCAGAAGAUUAAUGAAAGAAGGUUAAGUGAUACAUAUAAAGAAAAGUUCUCUGUAGGUUUUGAUUAUCCAGAAGGGGUACUAUCAUAUCUAACCGCGAUAUUUUGAGAGAGAUUUUCUACAUUAUUGGCCUCAUAGGAAUGAUAAAUGGAAAAAAAAAAAAAUCCAAAACUAGUUGAAAUUUAACAAAAUUUGAGAUCGUCAUGCGAACUUUGUAAACGGGCAUGAAACCACAUGAAUAAUACAAUUUUACAACAAAAGGUAACCUCCAGGAGAGGUUAUAUUCACCGAAUAACCAUUAUUCACCGAAAAAUGGUUAUUCGAGUAUGCAAUGUUGUUUCAAAGUUCAAGUGAUGAUUCAAGUGGUGAUUCCUAAUUGAACUAAACUUUAGAUCUGAUUGAAGCUUCUUUUAAUGAUAACUUAUAGCACACUUUGAAAUGGACACUAAAUUUUAAGAACUUUGACUUUAUUAUCUACUUUAUGAUAUGCAUUGAAUUAUGACCUUUUCUUCCAUGCAAAAAGUUGCAACCUACCAAACUAUUCCUCUCCAUGGCGGAACAUUCUAUAUCGCUUUGAUGGAAAUUGUCCAGUUUCAUUGUUAAAAUGAAAACCUUUAAAGUUCAAAUUGAUUUUAAAAUGUGCUAUUGUUUAUGUAAGGUCCAUACAUAUUUAUCCAUUCUAUUUUCAGUACUUCUUAUCUCUAAGUCAAAAGGUUUUAUUAGCAUAAGAUUCGGUUUCUGAUAAUUUGAUAACAUGUUAAAAAAAAGCUUUAAAGGCUUAAUCUAUCAAUUAUGCACUCAAUAGGUGUACCGUGGCAUUGCGCUCCUUGGUGUUGAGGGCUUCUACUCCCUCCCCCGCCAUUGCCUCAGUUUCUGCCUAGGCUUCUUCCUCCUAGCCUUUGCCAUCAGUGCGGUGAGGGAGAUAGCCAAGUAUAAGAACUGGUGGAUAUUCAAUUAUGUGCCGAGCGCGAUGGGGAUGGCGGUGCCCUUCUACCUGGGGUCGUACUUCACGAUCGACAUGUGUGUAGGAAGCCUAAUAUUGUAUGUGUGGGAGUGGGUGGACCAGCGAAGUGCAGCAGUGUUCGCACCUGCGGUUGCAUCAGGGUUGAUCUGUGGGGACGGGAUAUGGUCGCUGCCAUCAGCCAUGCUUGCCCUCGGAAAAGUCCGACCGCCAAUUUGCAUGAAGUUUCUCUCAGGGGCCAAUAAUGCGAGGGUGGAUGCUUUCUUGAGUGGGUGAGAGCUUUCUGUGCAGGGAAUACAUAUAAAACAUGUUCCAGAGAUGAAUGAAUGAUGUAUUGAUAAAGGAAUUGAUGAGCUAGAUGGUAUGUAAAUAAGCUUAAUUAGCUCCGGGAUGCCUAUGGCAAUGGUUUAGGCUUGUAAUAUAGCAACAUUAAUGCGUUAAGUAUCCAUGAGGUUUGCUCGAAGUGCAAUUAAUGAGUCAGAUUUCAAAUUUGAUAUGUGAAGUAGACGCUCAAGAAUGAAGCCUCCAAGGCUAAACAAUAAAUUUAUUAUUAUGUAGUAAAAGUUGAUUCAUGAAUUGUACUUCAGGGAACAUGUUGAGCUUACCCUAAGCGGUAAAUAGAAAACAUCAUAGUUCCAACUGCAUGGAGAUAUUAACUAAGGACCUUAUCAACCAUAUGAUUUACGGACUACACCACAAAAAGCACAACAAACACACGUAGAAAUAUAGAGAAAAAAUUAUUGCUUAAGAUUUUUAUUUAACAGGGCCUGACAAACUACUCUAGGUAGUUAAUCUGGCAAUAAUGUGCAGGUAGAACUCAUAAUGCUAUUAAUUUUUCAACAUAAAUAUUCAGAAGAGAAGGUAGACUGUUAAAAACAGUAUAUGACAAUUACAUCUUUGUGCAAGCGAUCACAUGGUCAAAUUUUCCUGAUAGAACGAAAAAAUUAACUCUACAUUUCUAAAAUAAAUGCAGUUAGGCCUUACGCAUGAUUAGCGGUUAGGUGAAUAUCUGGUUGACCAUAAGAAAAAAAACAUUAUUCACAUGAAAUAAUCUUUUUCAAAAUGAUCAACAGAGCUUUCAUACUGUGCUUAUAUGAUUUUAUCUACCCAGUUUUUAAAGAAUGUAUAAAAUAAGACUAAAAAAAAGAAUGAAACAAAAACAGACAACUUGAAUAAAUAGAAUUUAGUUAUCACCUACUAUGAGUCUCUUGCUAAUGUCUGUUUGGCUUGUCUUUAUGAAUAUCGUCUCUAAUAUGACAAGCGGCAGUCAGGCAGUGGGCACAUAAAAGGUCUAGUUUUUGCCACGGUGGGAAGAUGAAAUGAACUUCUAAGCCUAAAGUGUAAACUUCUACUAAAAAGGUUCUACUUCUGUCAUAGUACAAAGGAUAUAAGGGGAAUUUUAAUAAAAAAAGCUAUUGGUGCUUUUUCAAAGAGCUCUACUCGAAUAACACUUACACAGAAACUCCAAUAAGCUAAAUAAACUCUAUAACCAAACCCUUGUUUAAGGACACUAAUGUGACAUAAAAUCUAUGUUCAUUCCAUGGAAUUUUUCCUUCAUUUGUUGACAAGCAAAAAUAUUACCAAAGACUUGAGAACUCAAGAUUUUACCAAUGGUUCCUCAAAGGAGCAAAUUCGAGGAAACAGGAAGAAUCCUUGCCCCCUAUUUUGUGGUGAUUUGAUUUUCUAUAUCCGUAAAAUCCAAUCUGAUAUUAUGAAUGUCUUUUAAAGUGUCAAGUUUCACAUCUGAAGUUCUAAUUUCCACUCUAAUUCCUGUCACUUAGAAGUUAAAUUAAAACAUGGAAUAAAAGCCAAGUUAGCAAAAUGUAAAGAAAUGUUUAGAUCAAUAUUUAGAUAAAUUUAUCAGACAAGAUAGUGAAGAAAAUUUUGUUAGUGUUGGUGGAACUUCGCUCUAAAUCCGUUAUCAAUCUGUAAUGCUAGAAAAUGAUCGAGAAAAAGCUUAUGAUGAUUUGUCUACUUCAAAGCAUCAGGGCCUACAAAGAAAAUUCAUGUAUAGAAUCAUUUAAAGCUAAAGGAUGACAAUCUAUUCACAAAAAAAACAGACCUCUAAAAUCAAAUGUUUUCCUGGUGCUUCUCUAAGAAACUUUAGCAUCCUCCCCAAGAUAUCGCCCUUGCAGACCCUAAGGCAAUCUAGCACGUGCAGCAUAUCGCAUAUUAUUUAGCAUGGAAGGAUAAAUUUGUUGAGACAGAUAUGGAGUUAAUUUAUUGAACCAAAGUUGUAUACCAUCUGGCACUGCAUAUAAAUAUAAGCAUUCACUCCUCAUUCCUCUUAGUACAUCUUCUGUAUUACCUUUCAAUCUCUAUCUACAUGGUGCAUAUCUAAGUAUAAGCUACAAUGACUGCUCAGCAUGCGUUGCAGUUUACGUAACUGCAACAAGUUGAAGUAUGCGUGCGAGAUCAUUUUCUUCAGUGUUGCAGAGACCUCACUGGGUGAAGAGAACAACAGUUUUAUAACUAGUGUUGCUAAAUUGCAUGCCCAUUUGGUGGUGCUCAGACAACAGAUGAGAAGAAGAGAUGGUAAUUAAGUCCUGAAAUAAGCACUAACAAAAAUCUCCAGCAUUGAAUACUAGACAAAAAUACUUCUAAUAGGUAUUAACAAGUUAUGCUACCUUGCGUGCAUGCACAUGAGAGACAGAGAAGAAGCGAAACAUGCAUGAUUUAAAGCGAAGUAAGGGAAAAAAAGAAACCUGAAAUAAGCAUGGUGUUUUCCUUCAGCAAAUAUGCUCGAAGGAUUUAGAUUCAAGUGACGAACUACCCAAUUCCUAGCAUCAUGUCUAGUACGAAACAUACUUUUGAUAUCUCCGUGUGUUUACAACAACCCUUCCUACAGAAUGCCUUGAUCAAAAGAUCGAAAACGCAACCAUCAAGAACCAAACCUUGCUUCAACAUUUCUUCAAUCAACCUUAUUGCUUCUUUAAUAUUUCCACUCCUAACCAACCAAUAAGUUAAAUGUGCCGCCGGCAUCGGUGGGUAUCCAUUUUCAAUUGAUCUCACAAAAUCAACAGCCUCAAAUAUCUUCCCAUUCCUACAGAGGCAAUCGGUUAACGUGCUGUACGUGAUGGUAUCUGGCGCUAUUCUCCCAACAUCCAAUUCGGAGAAGAGAAAGCUGAGUUCAUCAACUCUACCCGCAUGGUAGAACUCGUGAAUUAAAAUGUUGCACGUGACAAUGUCAACUACGAAACCUUUACUGCAGAGGAUAAACCUUGCCAUCCUGAAGUUACCGGCCCUACAAAGACUAGAAAUAAGAAUAUUUAAAGAAUGAUUAUUGGGUUCUAUUCCCUUCUUAAACAGGCCUGUGAAAACCUUUAAAACAUCGAACCACCUCCCUAAUUUACUCAGCUGGCUCAUCACAGUAUUGUAGCCGACAACAUCGACCUCAAAACCCAACUCAGAGCACCUCUCCAACAAAGUCUUACUAUUCCAAACAUCAAUCUCCUGACCAACACAAUCUAAAAGAAUGUUUAACCCAAUAGUGGUAGGUCUCAAUCCCUUCUCCAGCAUAAUAUCCAAUUGGCAAAAGGCCUCUUCGGUCUUACCGACCUUGCAAAGCCCAGCUAUGUAAGUGCUAUACGUAAUAGAAUCCGGCUCCCAACCAUUUCUCGCGCUCUCUCCUAUAAUGCUCUCGACCUCGUCGAAGUUCCCGACCUUGCAAAGCCCUUGAAUUAAGGUGUUAUAAACGACGGUAUCCGGUGUGCAACCAGUGUUCUUCAUCGAUUCUAGAAGCUUCUUGGCCUCUUCAAUUCUACCCUCCGAGCAAUAGAAUUGGAGUAUAGGUGUAUAAGUAUGAGCAUUCGGUUUACAAUUUCUUUGGAGCAUUUCGUCAAACACCUCCCACGCCUCGCCGACUUUGCCUGAGUGGCAGAGCCCAGCGAUGAGGGUCGAGUAGGUGACGACAUCGGGGGGGCACCCGCGCCGCGCCAUCCAAGUCAUCACCCCGUAGGCGGAAUCCAACCGUUGGAGGUGGCAAGCGUACACCUUCACGAGAAGGGUGUACGCCGCCAGGUCGGGGGACACCCCCGAGUCGAGCAUUUCCUCGAACACCUUCUCGGCGUCCGCGGCGCGCCCGGCGGAGGCGAGGGCGCGCAUAGCGGUGGUGUAGCACUGCACGUUGGCGCCGCACGCGGACUCCCGCACGCGGCGGAGGAGGCGGAGGACGCCGCUGACGUCGCCGGAGUGGGCGAGGGCGCACAUGAGGCGGUUGUAGUCGUGUUGGUCCAAAUCCGCGGAUUUGGAGGUAGGAUUUCGGAAUCGAGCUGCGGCGGAGGCGGCGGAGGAGGAGACGGUGGAGUGGCGGCGGAGCAGGCGGCGGGUGCGGCGACGGAGGGGAAUGGCGCGGUGAAGGAGGAACCCUAGGGUUCGGAUGGCCGUGCGAAUGGCGACGGAGAGUGGGGAGGAGAUCCAUGCGGUCAUAGAGCGAGAGAGAGAGAAAGAGAAGCGGGGGUGGGGGGAAAAAGAGAAGAUCUCGACGUCGAUUCGGGGUUUUAAUGGUGGGUCGGAGUCUGAUGUGAGUCGGAUCGAGCCAGGAUCGAAUCUACCAUCAAGGCUUCAAGUUGAGCGAGGACAGUAGGACACAACAUACAUGGGGUGCAUUCGGUACGGAGGUUCAGCUAAUGUCAAUGAAACAAAACGAAGUUAGGACUAAAAUUUAUAGAAGCUCCAUUUAGGGCCCGUUUAUUUUGGUGUAAGUGGAGUGAUGGAACUCAAGUUCCAUCACUUCCGUUAUUUAUUUUAAUGUAAGUGAAAAAUAUAAUGUAACUCAAGUUACGUUAGAGCUCCACUUCACCUACUCUCGACUUUCUCCUCUAAAGUGUCGAACUCGACUUUCACUACACUCAACCUCCUCUAAAAAAUUUAUUAAACAGUAAAACCUAAACUCUACUUCCUUUAUAAUGGAUUAGAAUUACCUUAUUUUAUAAUAAAUUAUUAUUAUCUUUAAAUAAUAAUAAAAAAAUUAAUUAUAUAAUAGAUUAAAUUUUAUAGUGGUAAAUUUACUACUAUAUUUAGGAGAUAAUGAAAUCCACUUACUUACAUCAAAACAAACAACGGAACUCAAAAAACUAAUUUUACCAGCACCAAGUUACAUCAAAACAAAUAACAAAAAAAUAAUCACACUUCAGGAAAACUCAAACACCACUACACUUGACUUACGUUGGAUCUACAAAUACGUCAAUCCAAACGCCCCCUUAGAAUCACGAAGAAAUUAUAAAAAAAUUUAUAUUUAUUUUUAUAUAUAAUAUAAUGUUGUACAUAACUUUUUUUCCUUUUUUUUUUUGAGAGAGAUAGAUAACACGCUACCCGCUUCGUUUAUUUCAUUUAGAAAUAAACUUAACUGAAAAUAUGAAUCAACUAGAAUUCGAAUUUAGGUCUCGGAUACCAACCACCAAGCCCUUUGUCACUUGCUCUAGGGACGGUCGGUAAUGUUGUACAUAACUAAGUACACCAGGUACUACACUCUUUUGCUCCAACUCUGCCUUACCUACUACCAUUAGAUAAGCUUUUAAUACCAAACUGGUAUAAAUAUAUACUUCUUCACUUUGCUGAUGGAAUCACUAAAAAUAUAUGGUAAGUGAUACACUGCAGGCUAGAAUUACUAUACUAUUAUGAGUAUAAAUCCCUUUGUACUCAUAAGUUUUCGGUCAUUGGAUGAAUUAAUAUGCGGUUAGGAUGAUAAGGAUUCCCAGUUAAGAUGAUGACGGUCACCUAGGGUUGAGGGGGUGGUUGAUUGAAUAAUUUAAACUAACGGGAGAAAAUGGUGAAAGGGGUAGAUUUAAUAGACGAAAACUUAUGAGUACAAAGAGAUCUAUACUCAUAAGAGUAUAGUAGCCCCACUCAUUUAGUUAUAUACGAUUCAGAAGUAUAUUUGUAAAAUAUUAUUAGACUUUGUUUGGAAUUGUGGGGAGAUUGUGUUACGUCUGUUGAGCAAGUAUGAUGGAAAAUACUAUGUUUGUUUUCGUACGUAAUAUUGUGUUCCGCAUAUUGUGAUGACUGAUGAGUCGAUUAUGAUAUAUUUUCUACGGUUUCAUGGGAGAACGCAGAAGCAUAUCCCUAUAUACUUUUAUUUCAACUUUAUUUUAUCUAAUAGCGUAAGAUGGACCUCAAUACCUACUGUAAUUGGAACUGUGGCCAAUUUAUACGUAAUUACAACUACUCUAGUUGAGUCUGGUCAUAUAGUUUCAACUGUAAUAAUUAAAUUCAAAUAUAUAUGUUAUACCAACCAUUGGAUUUAUUUUUGUAUGCAAACUAUGUUAAAUGUAUUAUACCAAACAGCGGAUUUAUUUUUUGAAAAACUUCAAAUAUCACCCUUGUGAUUUCGCACUUUCUAAGUUUAGUACCCUGUGGUUUAAAGUGUAUCAAUGUAGUACCCUGUGGUUUCAUUUUUCUCUUUUUAUUAUCCAUUUCACUAUUUUUUUUUCGUUAAAUCAGUAACAAAGUUAAAACUAAAGGAUACUAAAGUAAAUAUUCGAUAAACCUAAGUAGGGUAUCUGAAGUUGUUUGUAUAUAAUUUAAUGAAAUAUUAAUGGAUGAGCUGACGAAGAAAGAAAAAUGAAACCACAGGAUACUAAAUCCAUACACUUUAAACCAAUAUUAAAAUGAGAAAGUGUGAAACCACAAAGGUGGUAUUUGAAGUUUACCCUUUAUUUUUAUAUUGCAACUACAAUUGCAAUGCAGUCGCAAGUUGCAACUAUAUAUAACCAAACAUCUCCUAAAUGUUCGAAGCUCGGUAUUUUUCAAAGUAUUUUUUGCAUAAUCGGUCAGAAAAAUCUAAUGAACAGGGCUUAAAGUACCUUAGGUAUAAGUUUCAAAACUUGAAAUCUCGAAUACCAAUUAUGAAAUUCUUAGCUAACUAUACGACUACACCAUAUACAAUUAGCAUUGAACGCAUACAAUUAUUAAUUACCAUAAAGUAAAAAUAUACAUAACUUACAUAAACUAUAAACCAUUUUAAAUCGAUUAUCUAACCUUACAAAAUUUUGAUCUUACUAUUAAUUUUUUAAUUUGUUUAAUUUGAGCCAGUAAACUGUACAUUGAUUUUAAACUUUGAACACGUUAUUUAUUUUUACAAGUUUAAUUAAUUUGACUGGUUGACCUAAAUAUAAUAAAUUUUAAAAAUAGAUAAUAAAACCAAAAAUUUGAAAGAUGAGAUGACAGAUUCAAAAUAAUAGUUAAUAAUUCAAAAAAAAAUUAUUAUAAUUUUUAUUUUACCGUAAAUACACAAAGUACAGAAAUCCAUAACUUAUCAGCCGCCCUGUACAAAACAGCCAACACGAUUAUCAAUGAGUCCACAGCCGCCACGUGUCCAGCAAUCCAAAACCACACUAAACUCGACCACUCCUCCGCUUCACAAUAACCCUAUAAUUAAAUAAAUAAUUUUAUAAAAAAAUAAUUGACAAGUUAAUUCUCUUUUUUGUCGCGUAAUUUUUUCUUACAGACCGUAAAUUGUUUACCUGAUUCAUCAUUUUUUUAUAUUUUCUAUAUAAUUUUAAUAACUAUAUAAAAAUUUCAACAAAUCACAUGUAAUUUUAAUAACAAAAAAAAAAUCAUAUACAAUCAAAAAAAUCCUAAUAAUUCUAACAAUUCUAAUAAUCCACAUAGAAUUCUAACAAUCUUAUUUUUUUUAUUUUUCAUAUAUAAUUUUAACAACAAUAUAAAAAUUUUAACAAAUCGUAUAUAAUCUUAACAAUCUAAAAAAAUUCUAAUAAACAAUAUUCAAAAAGACGGUGAAUAAUUCACUGCUGUUAUGGAAAAAUAGAAAGACGGUCGGUAAAUCAUUUACGUGACAAAAGAAGAAUUAUUUAGUCAAUAGAGUAAUUUAGUUAAUUAUAAUAUUUUUUAAGAAAAAACUUCAAAUACCACUCCCGUAGUUUUGCACUUUCACACCUUAAUAUCUUAUGGUUUAAAGUGUAUCAAUUUAGUACAUGUGGUUUUAUAUUUCUCUUUUUAUUAUCCACUUCAUAUUUCUUUUUUUAUUAUCCACUCCACUAAUUUUUUUUCAUUAAAUCGGUGACAAAAUUAAAACUAAAAGGUAUUAAAGUAAAUAUUCGAUAAACUUAGGUAGAAUAUUUUAAAUUUUUUUGUAUAUAAUUUAAUAAAGUAUUAACAGAGGAGCUGGCGAAAAGAAAAAAAUAAAACCAUAAGUAUUAAAUUGAUAUAAACUAUAGGGUACUAAAGAGAGAAAUGUAAAACUAUAGGGUUGUUAUUUGAAAUUUACCUAUUUUCUAUGGUUAUUUGGAAAAAAAAAGGGAAAACUUCAAAAACCCCCCCAGUAGUUUCCAACUUUCUCACUUUAGUACCCUAUAGUUUAAAGUGUAUCAAUUUGUCCCCCUGUGGUUUUGUUUUUAUUUUUUCUAUAGCUUUUUUCUUAAUAUUUUGUUAAAUUAUAUGCAAAAAAAUAUUAGAUAUCCAUCUAAAUUUACCGUAUAUUUAUUUUAGUACCCUUUAAUUUUAAUUUUGUUACUAAUUUGAGAAAAAAAAAAAUAAAUUUGAUAAAAAAAAGAGAAAAACGAAACCACAGGGGGCAAAUUGAUACACUUUAAACCACAGGCCCACGAAUCGGGUGGACUCGAAUAAAUACGAGCGCGCACACAAUCGUCGUCGUCGUCCUCCUCAUCGUCGCGCGCGAGCUCCGCCUCCGCCCAUGGCGUCGUCGCCGCUCAUCACCCCCGCAGCCACCACCACCACCACCUCCUCCUCCUCCUCCUCCUCCUCCUCCUCCUCCCUACGCCUCUCCCCCUCCCCCUCCGCCACCCCCCACCGCUUUCCCUCGAUCCAUCGCACGUCUGCGCCGCCGCGGCGGAUCCGGUUGCGGGGCGCCCUCCGAAACCCUAGCCACGCCCAGAGGCUCCCCGUGCGCUGCGCCGCGGCGGCGGCGGCGACGAUCGGCGAGGGAGAGUUCGCCGCGGCGGUGUUGGAGUCGGAGCUCCCCGUCCUCGUCGAGUUCGUCGCCGAGUGGUGCGGGCCGUGUCGAUUGAUCUCCCCUGUUGUCGAUUGGGCUUCGCAGGUUCGAAUCUCUCCGCCAAUUUCUUCAUAUAUUGGAUCAGUUUCGUAUUUUCAGUUUAAAUUUGUAGUAGUAAAUUUCCUAUUUGAAGAUAAUUGGUUAAAUUCUCAAUCUUAAUUCUAGGGUCUCCUCCUAUCAAUAUGGAGAAUUUAGGGCUUUAUGAGGGAUUGGGGCUGCGUCUUGAUGCUUUCUAAGGACCUAAAGAGGCAUCAAAAGAUAGAAAUGAUAGUUUAGAUACUACUAAAAUGAGUGCUUAAGCUUUCUCAUUGACAUCACAAGAGAAAGGAAGCUUUUAGUCUUUUGAGUAUAAAUUAAUUAAACACCGUUCUCUAGUAGCUUAAGGUUUCACUUGGUAUCAGAGUAGAAUAACAUGAGUGAGAAACCUUUAGGCUUCUUUCGUGUUUCACGCUAAGUGUUAUGCUUGUGGUCAAACUCUGCCUACACAUUAUGAAUUGCAUUAAAGUUCAGGUGGGUCUGGGCCUUUUAUCUUUUUCUUCUUUUUUAUUGCGACUCGUCUUAUCCUGUAAAACGUGUUCUAGCAUUCACCAACAGCAACAUUUCUGCUGUGACAUGCUCCAUACAAGUUGACGGCAAUAAGGUGUUAAAAGGGGGAGUGAUAUUUCGAUUGAGUUGGUUAUGGGACAGCAACAGGAAGAAUUUGGGAUUCUAAUCAUUUUGGACUGUAACUGAUACCCCUGAGAAUUCCAUAAAAACCCAAUAUUGCAAGCCAAAUUCGACAACGAGCAUUGUCCUUUAAUGCCCUUUUUCUUGUGGCUUGCCUUUCUAAUUCAGUAUUGUAAACUAUUUGCACAUGCUGAAUUAUUUUAUUCAGUGAUUGAAAAUUGCAAUGGUGUUAUGAUUUUCUGUCCAGGUCUGUUUCCAGCUGCCUCUUUGUCAUUUUCCUCUUUGUUGAGACAUAAUUAAUAUGCAUCAGUAGGAAAAACUAGAGUAACCAUGGUAAAGCGUUAGUUACUGACUAGCUUGGAUCCCGAGAGUUUUAUCUAUUUGGAAGUAUAGGUUUCUAUUUCAGAACCUCAUGGAAGCAAUUACGAAGUGUCGAUAACAGCCAACCCAUCUUGCAGAAUCAGCAUAGUAAAUUGCUUCCCUUUGUAAGAUGAUCCUAACUCCUAACCAGUCUGUCGGGUCAUUAUUGUAAGGGGAAAAACCUUUCUGAUAUUAUUGAAUACUGGUGUUAUUUAUAAUAUUCAAAUCUAUUGGUAUUUUGCAGCUCUGAACUUGGGUCACCUGUAUGAAUUUGCUGAAUUUACUCAACUUUACCACGAACUUUUAGCAUCGUCUUUUGCAGAAUUGUUCUGUCCUUUCUUUUCUCUGCACUUAACAUUUAUAAAAUUCUUACUCUUUCUCUAGUUUUGCCACUAAUGAUACUCUUUCAAUGCUCAUAUAUGUACAAGUCCUUUUUGUUUAUGUUACAUCCUUUCAUAUAUGUCUGUGUGUGUGUAUAUGUGUAUAGUAUAUAAUAUAUGCUUUGAGCUUAGCCUUACUACAAGUUUCAAAGCUUAAAGUAUGCCUAUAUUUCUGCAAGUUGUAUAAUUUGUUUAUAAUGACUGCUUUCUUUUGGGAGAAUCUAUGGUUAAUGAUAUAAUUGAACCUCUCUCUCUCUCUCUCUCUCUCUCUCUCUCUCUCUCUAACUACUACUGUAGCUAUCGUAGUGUCUCUGCUAAAAUACUUGAUUUCAUUUUCCACUUUUUAUUAUUUUAUUACAAAAUUUUAUUAAUUUUUUGUGCUUAAAUACCACCAUGAGAUUCAAAGUUCCAACACGCAUGAGCAAAACAAAUACCUAAACAGAACACGAGUGGUGCUUAAAAUGUGUUCUGUAGAAUGAAAGAUGGCAGAUUCUAGCACCGCUUUCCGCAUGAACUAUUAGGACAAUAGAAACUCCUCUCCUGAACAUAAUUAUAUUCUAUAAAUUGAUUUCCCAAGGAAAAUCAAUAGAUAGUUUCUAAUAACAAUAGAUCUAGAAGUACUCAUUGUGCUUGAUACAUUGAAACAUUCCCAGAUUCUUUCAAGAUUUUGGUGGUUCUUCCUGUUAGUUGUUUCUGGUACCACUUUGCAACAUACAUGAAAUUGUAUUGAUCAAUCUUAUGUCUGAUUGGUAGAAAUUUCACGGUCGUUUAUUACGAUUUUAUUUGACUGGAACUUUUGGCAUAUAUCAGGAAUACAAGGGCAAACUGAAAGUCGUAAAGAUCGACCACGAUGCGAAUCCCCAGUUGAUUGAAGAAUACAAGGUCUAUGGCUUGCCAACCUUGAUUCUCUUCAAAAAUGGGAAAGAGGUUCCGGAAAGCCGAAGAGAAGGCGCGAUGACUAAAGUAAAGCUGAAAGAGUACUUGGACGACUUGCUGGAGCCCACUACUGUAGCUUGAUCUCUUCGUAUUUUUCGUAUAUGCAGUGCAUAGUUUUUGGUGACAAACUCAUCUACUUACGAAGAGUUUCGCCAAGCUGGUUGUCCAAUUCAACUUGUAAGUUACUUUUUUGAGAGCCCAUGUGUGUUUUUGCACUCCAGUUGUGAUGUGUAUAAUCUCUCUGUAACAUUAUGUUGUUGGCAAUAACUAUGCAUAUUAAAAUUGUAACAGCUAUUAUGAUACUCCAAUGUUUUCUGGUUUCUUUUGCAGCAAUUUUCGAGAACUAUUAGCUAUUACUAGAAAGUUGUACUGUUUUUGCAAUUCUUUACAAGAGCAUUAGAUAAAUCACCUGAACUUCUUUUGUUGCUAAAGUUUGUGAGUUUUCGCUGCAGUUAAAAGAAGCUUUGGAGUGGAGUUUUAUUCUAUUAUAUUAUUCUCACAAACUUAUUUUAGUUUUUUUUUUUAGCUAUUGCAAAUGCUUUAAGUUCUUUACUUAGGAAGCAGCACUCAUAAAUUACAGUUGGGUUAAAUUAUGCUAUUUUGACUGAUCAUAAUGAGAAACUUUACUUUGAUCAUUAAACUUUAAUCCUUUAUAAUAAUGAAUAACAUUGAGUUUGUUUAAAUCUAAUUCAUCCAUAAAUGAAGACUUUUUAGUUACUAAAUUACCCUAUUUUAUCCUGAUGCAAUAGCUUAGUCACACACACAAAUAUAAUAUAAUGUGACAGCUAAAUUAAUUAUAGUUUUUUUUUUUUUUUAUAUUGGAUUAAAUUAGAUAUAAUGUGACGGAAAAAACUAAAUGAAACGAUAGUAAUAAAAAACAAAAUUUAUUAGUGCAUCAGCUGCAACAAAACUAAGUGAUCUAAAAUAGUUAUACCAGGUGUUUAGUACAAUCAAAAUUUUUAAGGUAAAAAAAAAAGAAAAAGAAAUACACUGUACUGUACGUAUAUAUUUACGUUAAUCUGUCCGUACGCAGAGAAUUAUGCGUACCUCCUCUUCCACCCUUGCCCUGGACACGCAUUCGAAUCGGGGUCCGCAUAAACCUCCACAUUCUCUUUUAUGCGUCACCUUCGUCUCCGCUCAGCCCCCGAUUCCCUCCCUUCCCCUUAAACAAAAAAGGCUCUCCCUUUUCCUUCUUUUCCUCUCUCUCUCUCUCUCUCUCUCUCUCUCUCACUAAGUCCAAAAAUCCUACGCGAAGCACCAACACGAUCCCUCACCCUUGACUCUGGGGGACGUUGCCGUGUAAGUGGGAACCGCCCCUCGAUUCGUCGUCCUUUUAGGGUUUCUUCUCGUGCCAUGGCGGGUAGGGUUUGGCGCAGCUCCAUUAGAGAGGCCUUGUCCAGGAGCCUGAGGUCGAGGGCGGUGGGAGGGGCCCCUGGAGCAAGGCCAUUGAGCGCCGCCGCAGGCGGCGGAGGAGGUGGCGGAGCUGCCGCGCGAGCCGCUCCGAAGAUCCCGCCUUCGUCCAAGAAGGUAUAGCUUUUUCCAUCUCUGCGGCAUUUCGUCGAACAGGUGCCGUGCGUUAAAAGCGCUCCUUUUUUUUUUUUUUGGGUUAUCUUCUACUAUUUUCUAGGCUGCAUUUGUAAAAAUUGCUCCUUUUACACUUGUCCUUCUUUAAUUUUCAUCUUUUUUUUUCAGUUUAAGAUAGAGUAUGUUGAACUAAGCUAAACAAAGCUAGAUUUAUUAUUAUUAUUAUUAUUGUUAUAGAGAUCACUCUAUGUGAGGUGACGGGAAGGGUAUUGUUGUGUGUGCUAUUAGAAACCAGGUCGUAGGCACUAGCAGGAUAUGAACAGAGCCUGUUUGGCCCUGCUUCUGUUUUUGCUUUUAUGACAGCAGCAAGCCGAAAUCUCCAGCUUCGGCUGUAGUGCAAAGCAAAAAUAAUGUUCUGAGGCUCAAAAGCAGAAGCUCCAAUUCGGUGCUUUUAACUUUUCAAUAUAAUGCUUCGCCUCACUGCACUAUUCAGACAUCACUUUAUUGAACAACACUGCGCCUAUUGGCCCUCAGUACAAUUAUAUAUAUGAGGUGAUUUUAGUCACUAAUUGUAUCACCCGCUGGACCAGUUGGUGCUACCCCCAGAUGAAGAUCAUUCCGAUGAACUAAUCAAACAGAAAACAGAAGUAGAAAGAGUAUUCCUCUUUAUGUUGGGUUUCUUCUAUCCUUGUCCUUCUUCUUGAUACCUAUAUUGCUUUUUUUCCCCUUGGGCAACAUAGCAGGGCAAUUAUCUGUGUACAAUUCUGGUUGUAAGGCAACUGGGACAAAAUCCAUUCUUUUUUUUUUUUUUGGUGGCAAGUUCUGAAAGUAGGUCUUGGCUCUUUAAGUUUAAUCUAUUCAAGAAAAUCUUUUCAUUCUUGAAUCUUUGAGAAGUUAGUAUUAUAUCUAUUUGCACUUGUAGAAUAUAAUGUUCUGUUUAACUUAUUUAUUAUUUUCAUGUAAUUUAGUUAGUAUGGUUACUGACGUUAUAUUCAGUAUAGAAUGUGUAAACAUUCUUUGCAAAUAUUAAUGAAGUCAACGCGUUAAGAUGUUGGUGGAUUAUAAUGUUCAAAGUUAUAAAUUUAAAAUGAUAGCCAUGUUAUCUCUUCUUUUACUUGUGUUUUGUUUGAAUUCAUUGGUUAAUUUCCCUGAUCUGGUACUCUGUUCUAAUUAAUCUUUCAGGGAAGGCUUUUAACUGGAGCUAUGAUUGGCCUUGCUAUAGCCGGAGGUGCUUAUGUGAGUACUGCAGAUGAAGCCACAUUUUGGUACAUAAUAAACAUUUCUUAGAUUAACCUGCACUUUUUGAAGAUCCUUUUUUAUUGGGUUUUUAUUGUUCCUUUCUGCUAAUAAUUAUCCCAGUCAUUAGAGCAGCAAUGUGAACACAUUUUCAGCGGUUAUGAUCAUACUGAACAAGCUCCAUUGAUGGAUCUUCUAACGUAGGAGGAUUGUAGCCCUUAGCUUGAAAUAUUUGUCACCUUCGCAUUGAUCUCAAUGAACCGUAAGAUAGAAUCUUAAAAUAGAUGUAUGAACUGCUCCAACAGUUUUGCAACCUUUUAUCUAGCUUUUUCCUCUCUAACCAGUGAAUGCUUUGUUUGCUAUGAUACUCUCACCAUUUAACUUCUUUGAUAUUUGUGCAUAAUUUGCAAACACCAGUAAAAGUGAAAACAACAUUUCCAAGUAAGCCUAUAUGGUCACUAAUAUAGUAGUUAAGUUACAUUUAAGAAAAUUUGUUAUCUUUUUAAUCCAUGCAUGUGAAAUUUUGCUCCUAUGUUGCCAUCGUAGAAUUUGAUGAAAGUUUUAUUUGGAAUUACUUGGUUUUUACAAUUUUUAAUAAAAGUUCAAUUUACCUUAUGAGAUUCCGUGGAUUAGACAGUCAGAUCAAUCUAUUUUAAGUUUUGCUUCUGCAUUUACAUGGAGUUCAAGAAGCUCGAUGGUUCAGUUUGGAGGAAAUUUCUUGCUAUGCUAAUCUUUAACCCUCAAGUUCAUUGAACUUCUAAUCUUCUUGAAGGUUUUUAUGCACCUUUAUGAUAACUCUCAUAUAUUUUGGACUUCUACGCUUUAGUUGAUGGAAAAAUUGUCAGGAAGUUGCCUUUUGUUUAAUUUAAAUUUUGUGAUUUCAAUCUUGCAGUGGAUGGUUGUUUAAGGCUACAAAGAUUGUGAACCCACUAUUCGCAUUGCUAGAUGCAGAGGUGGCUCAUCGGUUGGCUGUGUCAGCCGCAGCUCAUGGGUUAGUUCCAAGGGAAAAGAGACCUGACCCACCAAUACUGAAUCUGGAGGUUUGGGGAAGGAAGUUCGCAAACCCUAUCGGUCUUGCUGCUGGUUUCGAUAAAAACGCUGAGGCAGUUGAGGGGCUACUAGGUUUAGGGUUUGGCUUCGUAGAAGUUGGGUCAGUGACUCCCAUGCCUCAGGAAGGAAACCCUAAGCCUCGUAUUUUUAGAUUGCCGAAGGAGGGGUAAGCAUGCUGAAUGUAUGUUGCAUCUAUUUAGUUUUAGAGAUACUAACAAGUGUACUAUUUCUCCAAAAAUUUGAAUUUUCAUAAUGCACCUCCAGGAACUUAGGCCUUAUUUAUUUGCGGUUACUCUUUUUUUUUUUUUUCUAGUGGUAUUGAAUGUCCCGAGUUAUUGCAGAUUGUAUUCAAUUUAUACCUAGGUUUUGUUUAGCAAUGAAAAAUAGUAAUGGAGUAUUAGUUUUUUGUUUUUUGCCUUUUGGUUUUUUAAAAAGAUGGGUUUGCAAGCUUAUGAACUAUAAGAAGAGUAGCGAAGUUUAUCUGCAGGCACUUUCAGUCACAUAAAAUUGAGUUUUCAAAAAAGGGAUAAACAUAAAGCCUGCCAUAUAGAUGUGAAUUCACAUGCUAAAGGAGCAGUCUAUGUAAAUAAAUGAUUUUGUAGGGAAUGCUCCAAUUUCAAAAGAAGACUUUACACUUGUUACAUUUUUACUGUUCUAUUCUGACAAUCUCCCAAAAUUAACUAAUCUUUUAAUGUGCUUGCUCUUUCUGGCAGUGCCAUAAUAAAUCGAUGUGGGUUCAACAGCGAAGGUAUUGUGGUAGUCGCAAAGCGUUUAGGUGCCCAGCAUGGUAAGAGAAAGAUGGAGGAAACUUCAAGCUCUUCAGUUUCCUCUAGUAAUGAAGUAAAGCAAGGAGGGAAAGCAGGACCUGGUAUUUUGGGAGUCAAUCUUGGGAAGAACAAGACAAGCGAAGAUGCAGCUGCCGACUAUGUUCAAGGAGUCCACACUUUAUCGCAGUAUGCUGAUUACUUGGUAUUUUUCCUCCAUCAUAAUUUAGUUGCUUAGAACUUUUCAACUUAUGGUCAGGGCAUUUUGAUCUUAAAUUGUAACUAUUUAGUAGAUAUUAUUUGCAGUUGCUGUAUUUUGGUUUUACUAGUGGUGUUAUAGGUUGAUGCAUGUAGCACUCCCUUCCAGCAUCAAUUUGUUAGAUUCUAAGUUGCAUUCUUGAUGAACAAGACAAGUCACAUUAUUACCUUAAUAAACUUUCCAAGUCAUCCUCUAGUUUGAAUUAUGAUAUAGAAGAUGAAUCAGCCUAUAGCAUCAGUUGUUUAUAUGCAUAAUGUCACUUACAUUGUUCAGAUUUAUUGUGUUAUUAUUGUGCAACUGACACUAGACAAUGUAUUUGAAUUUCAGGUCAUAAAUGUUUCUUCUCCAAACACUCCCGGGCUUCGCAAACUUCAAGGGAGGAAGCAAUUGAAAGAUCUUGUUAAAAGGGUUUGAACUCUUAAAACUUUUUUAUCUGUUCCCGCAAUUUAACCUUGGAAUCUUUUAUAAUUAUGUAUUUUUAGGAGGUUGUUUUGGGUAUUAUUCUCAAUACGUAGGUGCAAGCUGCCCGUGACGAAAUGCAAUGGGCUGAGGAGGGUCCUCCACCAUUGCUUGUAAAGAUUGCACCGGACUUGUCUAAACAGGAUCUUGAUGACAUUGCUGCAGUAAUUUGCUUUGGAUUAUCCAUUUUUUUCUUCUUCUUUUUCAGCCAUUUUACAUGCAGCAUGGUCUUAUUCUUUCUUUCUUAUUCCUCUAGGUUGCUCUUGCUCUUCGAUUGGAUGGCUUGGUAAGUAUUUCUGUCAAGUUGGGGAAUUUUACAUAUAUGUCCAUGCAAAAUCAUCAUUUACAUAUAUACCCUUUAAAAUCUGAAUUUUAAUUUAUGCUCCCCGAAAGUGAAGUUUUGUCCAAAGGAGGUAUCCUUAUCUCAAGUGAGGGAGUCAUCUAAUUUAGGUGGUAACUGGAAGUUAAUUUUGUAUUACUUAAGGUCUUUACUGAGAAUCAUUUUUGGUGGUAGAAGGGUUAUAUCUGGAAGAAAGUAAGCUCUUGAAAGAAGUAGAUGAAAAAUCUGUUUAUGAAGAGAUAUGUAGAUAAUUUUUGAAUUAAUUUGAUGACUGGAAUCAUUUUCUAUGUUCAGAUUAUAUCAAACACAACAAUUUCGAGGCCAGAACCUGUAGACAAACACCCUUUAGCUGCAGAACCUGGUGGUUUAAGUGGGAAGCCACUCUUUGAUCUGUCUACUAAUAUACUCAAGGAGAUGUAUAUCCUCACUCGGGUAUUUUGCUACUUUUCUCUUAAUUUAACUGCGUAUGGCUCGAGUUUAAUCGUCCUUUAGCUAUAGUUUCUAUGGCACUUAUGGGAGUUUUUUGUUGUACCAUGAGCUUGAAUUUUUCUUUUUUUCCUUUUCGGCACAGGGCAAGAUUCCCCUCAUAGGCUGCGGUGGGGUGAGCAGGUAAUUGAUUUUGGAUACUUUAAAACAAGGAAAAAAAGAAAAAAAAAUCAUAGUUUCAAGGUUGUUUAAUUUGUGAACAAUGCAGCGGUGAAGAUGCAUACAAGAAGAUCCGAGCAGGUGCAACCCUGGUUCAGCUUUAUACUGGUUUUGCCUAUGGGGGACCAGCACUUAUUCCCCAGAUAAAGGUCUUUAUCAAUACUGACCCACUUUUCAUCCUAUAAAUAUAAUGCUUUAAGAGCAUCAAAGUAAUUAGAAGUGUCCACUUGGCCUGCGUUUUGAAUUUUGACUGCAAACAUCGAUACAUUUCUUUGUUUUGAUUUCAACAACUGAGAACAUAUCACUGUUUCAUCAGUAUUUUAUAUGAUUAUUAUUUCAUUUAUAUCAGAAUGCCAUUUUGAUGUGGUUAUUUAUAUUUCAAAAUUAAGUGAAUCAUGUCCAUUAAGUGCUGUUACAGCUUGUGGUGAUACAGUUUUUUAAGUUGUUCUCUGGAGCUCUAGGAAAAUCUAACAAUUUUUCAUUGGUGAAGUCAUUCGAGUCCAAUGCCAAUUAAAGUUUGGAUUUUUGAGUUGCGAAUCUAGUUUUGUUCAUUGUAUUUAUAUCCUUCAUAGCCAGCUUCUAUUUAUGUCAUAUUUCCGAGUGUUCUCUGAUACCUAGAGCUCAAAUGGAUAUAGAUCGAUACAGAAAAUAAAUUUCAGAUCCGAUAACUGGAAAAUUUGUUCUAAUAACUUGUUAGAAUCCUCUUAGUUCCUGAAACUUGAGUUGUAAUUUGUAAAAGCUAGUUCCGAAACAGUUUCCCAUAAUAUCUAAAAGAUAACUGAGGAUGAUUUAUUUACUUCUUUAUUCGCUGAUUUAUUAUGUUCAGGCUGAGCUAGCUGAGUGCUUAGAGAGGGAUGGCUUUAAAACUGUUCAAGAAGCAGUUGGCGCAGAUUGUAGAUAAAACUUCGCGAGUUCUCACAAGGUUUGGAUUUCAGACAACUGCUGAAACACUUUCCGUCUUUAACUUCAAUCGUUAUAUCUAAAUUAUAGCACACAUCGGUUCCUAAAGGUGCAUUUUUGUUCCUUUUAACGUCGAGCUACUGAAACAAUUGCUUAUGCAUAUUUAUUUUGUCGCUCUGUCCCCCUAACUCCAAGGUGGAUACAAAUUUUUGCUUGAUAUGUAUUACUUUUUAGGAAUUUUGGGAAGUUGAUAGUGGUUUAAAGAACUUUCGGUUGUACUUUUUUUUUGUUUUUCCGAUCGUUUUUCUAGGCUAAUAAAUGUAAUUCUCAUGGACUUACCUUCGAGUCUGAAAUUUUUGUAAUCGGUAUUUUCUUAUUCUGCGUUCGUAUGAAUUCUGUGUCGAAAACCUGUAAUAAGAGUUCUUUGGAGGGCUGAGACUAUACCAAUUAGUUCUUUGUACUCUUAAUUUCUUUUCUCAAGAAGCAGAAGAUGUAAAAACCUUGAUCGUUUCCUUUAGAGUUACCUUAAUCUAAAUGGUUGAUAUGAUCAGAUUUAAUGAUCAGAUUUAAUGAAUCUGCAAUGUCAGCAAUAAUCUUGGCUGUUUCACGCUCUUGGAUCAGGUGUGCAAGUCUUGAUUUGUGAGUCUGCAAUGUCAGCAAUAGGACCAACUCCAAGAAGAAAUAAAAAAAAAAGAGUUAAAGACUGUAGAACUCGCGCGAACUAUAGAUUAUGUUGAAUCAGCUAUACGAACUUUUAAAAUUUUGACUUGAUGAUCUGAUCUUUUAAUUUGUUUGAUUUAAAUAAGUUAACAAUAUUUUGAUCCCUAAAUUUAAGCUACAUGCUUUAAUGAAUUUGUGGUUAUAAAUUAUGUGGAAUAUAUUAAUUAAAUCUAUAAAAAUAAAUGAGAUAUUUAAAUUUUAAAAGUUAAAGUGUCGUUUACUAACUCAAAUCAAAUAAAUUGAUAAAAUUGAAUAGUAUAAUUAAAAUUUUUAAAAAUUGUAUAGUUGAUGAAUCAUAGUUCAAUAAGAAGUUAGCUAUGUUUUUUUAAGGCUAAAUUAUAGAAAACCUUUUUGUAAAUGCUCGUUGUUUACUUUUCCUUCAUGACUUUCAAAAACUUGUAUUUUGGUUUCUUUAAAUUUCAAAAAUAUUUUCAGGGAAUACGGUGUUAAUGGAGAGAGCAAAAUGAUUAAAUUAUCAUUCCUUUUUGUUAUAAGAAAAAAUAAUUUUUUAAUAUAAUUUUGUCAUUUUGAAGGACGUAUUCGGUAAGAAUCCUAAUGGAGGGGUGCUAAAUGCAAUGAUUUAAGAUUUGAGGGAGUAAAAUGUAGGUUUUUAAAAGUUAGGCAAGAAAAAUGAAAAAGUAGGUAUUACAGAAAAAUUUAUGUAAUUUAGCAUUUUUUAAAUUUAGAAAAAGGGUUACUUUUAUAUAGGUCUAUGUAAACAUAGUGAUUUGCAAAAAUAUCCUUACAAAGUUCAACUUUCAUAUGUUGUCCCUACAAAAGUAUUAAUAUUUUCAAAUAUGUCCCUCUGGUUUAUUAUCGUUAAAGCACUAUCUAUUUUAUAAGUGAAAUGAUAAUUUUGUCAUCACAAAUAUGUCCCUCCAAAAAAUCAAACUGUUAAUUAAAGAGGGGUAAAAAGGUCAAUUUAUUUUAUUAACUAAACAUGGUUAAGUAUCUAACUUAUAGUUAACUAAAUUUUUCUAACGGUAGGGACAUAUUUGAAAGCAUCAUAACUUUUACAGGAACAACAUAUAAAGAUUGAACUUUAUAGCAACAUAUUUAUAAUUUAUUAUAUUUGUAGGGAUAUGUACGCAAUUAGCCUUAGAAAAAAAGAAAAACUUCAAAAAACCUCCCUGUGGUUUCGUAUUUCUUCAUUUUAGUACCCUGUGGUUUAAAGUGUAUCAAGUUAGUACCCUGUGGUUUUGCACUUUCUCACUUUAGUAUCAUGUGGUUUAAAGUGUAUCAAGUUAGUAUCUUAUGGUUUUAUUUUUGUAUCAAGUUAGCAUCCUUUGGUUUUUAAACUAUAGGGUACUAAAGUGAGAAAGUGCGAAACCACAUGGUACUAACUUGAUACACUUUAAACCACAGGGUACUAAAGUGAAAAAGUGCAAAAUCACAUGAUUCUAACUUGAUACGCUUUAAAUCAUGGGGUACUAAGUGCGAAAAAGUGAAACCACGAGGGAGUAUUUGAAGUUUUUUCUGGAAAAAAAGAAAAAAAAAAAAGAAGAAGGGGGCGUAUAAAUAUAAAUUCUCCCGCCCUUCCCGUUUUCCCGCCAAUCCCCUAUGAACCGAAGCAACUACCACUCUCUCCUCCACCUCUGCAAAACCCUAGAAUCGCUCCAACGCCUCCACGCCCAAGCCCUCGUCCGCGGCCUCCACCCCCACCACCAACCCCUCUCCUGCCGCAUCCUCAACGCCUACGCCGCCCUCGGCGCCCCCGCCGCCGCCCGCAAGCUCUUCGCCGAAGUCCCCGCCCCCGAUCUCGUCUCCGUCACCAGCCUCAUCUCCCUCCACCUCCGUUCCAACCAACCCCGCCGAGCCCUAUCCUUGUUCUCGCAGCUCCGAGCCCCCGAUGGGUUCGCCGUCGUCGGCGCCCUCGCCGCCUUGGCCCGGAUCGGCCACGCGGGGCUCGGCAAAUCGGUCCAUGGGUUCGUUUGCCGGCGCGAAUUGGGUUCGGAGACGGUUGUCGGCAACGCGUUGAUCGAUAUGUACUGUAAAAUUGGGAAAUUUGAGAUUGCGCGACGAGUGUUUGAUGGAAUGCGUGUGAGAGAUUCGGUCACUUGGAGUAGUUUGCUUCACGGGUGUGUCAAGUGCGUAGGGUUGGAUUCCGCGUUGAGGUUGUUCGAUGAAAUGCCGGAGACAGACGUGGUUUCGUGGACGGUGAUGAUCACGGGCCACGUACAGGGGAAGAUGCCCAUGCAAGCGCUGGAACUUUUUAGGAUGAUGAAAUCGGACGGUUGCCGUCCUACGCAAAUCACGCUUGUCGGGGUUAUCUCCGCUUGUGCCGAUAUCGGUGCUCUAGACCUCGGCCGCGCAAUCCACGGCUAUGUAAGCAAAGCGAACAUUGGCUCCGAUCUUACCGUUUAUAACGCUCUGAUUGAUAUGUACUCUAAGAGUGGGAGUCUCGAUGCUGCGUUCGCCAUCUUCAAAGAGAGCCCAUUUAAGGACGUGUUUACGUACACUACAAUGAUCUCCGGAUUCGCAGUUCACGGCGACGGAAAUCGGGCUACAGAGCUGUCCUUCGAUAUGCAUCGCUCCGGUGUUCGACCAAAUGCGGUGACUUUUCUUUCUCUCCUUACUGCUUGUAGCCACGGAGGAUUAAUCCAAGAAGGUAGAGAAUGGUUUGAUGUAAUGUGCCGAGAAUAUAACAUAAAGCCCCGAAUCGAGCAUUUCGGUUGUAUGGUCGAUCUACUAGGGCGAGCGGGGCUCUUAACCGAAGCCGAAAAUUUGAUAAAAACUAUGGGAAUUGAGCCUGAUACAGUUAUAUGGAGAUCACUACUGAGUGCAUGCCUAGCUCACGGAAACGAUAAGUUGGCCGAGAUCGCGGGAAAGGAGAUUAUAAAGCGCGAGCCGGGGGAUGACGGGGUUUAUGCGCUUUUGUGGAACAUGUAUGCUUCGUCGUGUCGAUGGGGCGAAGCACUAGAAUUGAGGAAGGAGAUGCGGAAUAGAAAGGUUUUUAAGAAGCCCGGGUGUAGUUGGAUCGAAGUAGACGGAUUAGUUCACGAAUUUUUGGCAGACGAUGCGGCGCAUUGCCGUCGAAGAGAAGUGUAUUUUGUGUUGGAAUGUAUGGCCAAGCAAUUGAAGAAUGAUGAUGGUGUGUUUUUGCUUGAUGAAGAUGAAAAUGUUAUGUUGUAAAGCUAAGCUUAUUGAGUUAGGAGAUUUUGAGUACCAUUUUGAUUCUUUAAUGUCACCUAAAAGUACAUCCCGCGUAUUUAUUCUGUUGAAAUUUGUGAUAGUUUUCAACAUAAGACUGUUUUAUCUGUUGUCUGUGCAGUUUUAAAUUAGUGUCGAUCAAAUAGUAUAGAAUAGAUAGAACGGUCUUAAGUUGAAAACUGUCGCCGCUAAAUUAUCUGGGCAGCUUUAAAUUAGUGUUGAUCAAAUAGUACAAAAUAGGUAGAACAGUCUUACGUUGAAAACUGUUGCGGCUUAUGCCUAUUUACCCAGCUGUCCAACGAGGGGCAUUUUCGUCAUUUUGAAUUGGAAGCAACAAACACUAUGGUCUGAAGUUUAAAAGAAAAAAAAGCAAAUUGUUUAGAUUCUUCCACACAAAAUGGUGGUCAAUACUCAGAUAUAGUUGUGUAACAACUAUUUUAAGAAACACAUGGAAUAUGAAACUAAUUCCACUUAGAAACUUACUGUAUAUUAUUUUUCAUUUUACAAUUUCCAUUUAGUGGGGUUUGAUCAAUAUCUCUUAUUCCCAAUACAUGUGAAAAAAUAAUAAUAAUAAAAAAAAACUAUACCUAUUUCAAAAUUUUAAAUCAAAAUUUAACUUGAGAGUUUAAACUUGAAACUGCAAGUGUUCGACAAAAUGCCAAUACGAGCCUCCGGAUUUACGGCGCCCACCAGCAGAUUGCACCGCGCCUGCGCCGUCGCCCUCCACAGCUUCAAUUUUCCGACCUUCGCCCGCACCGGCACAUCACCGUGCACGGCGAGCGGCACCGUCCCCGUCUCCCGCUGCUGCCGCCGCAGCGCCGUCACCAGCGGCCCAGCAAGCGGCGCCUCCCCGCUCACGAUCACGUUGAUCACCGUCGUGUUCCGGUGACCCUGAUAUCGAAUAUACAAUAUUAAAACACUAUUCUGGACAUCGGUAAACUUUUACCAAAAGUUAGUUUGUUAUAUGUUGUAUCACAUCAGAGCAAAAGAUACUGAGUUUUUAAUUUAACUACCUGGUAGAAUACUGGAAAACUUCCGGAGCCGAGCAAAUUGUCACCGUACAACACGCUCAAUCGGCCGCCGUCGAGGUAGUAGAUCCCCAUCUUCGCAUUCGGGUUAUCUGCGGUGAUCGUCACGACGAAGCUGGCCCGGACGGUGAGGUUACCGUCGACCUUGAAUGCCGAGAGCGCGAGGCGGUUGAUCGAGUACGUCGGGAUCUUGAAGCGGAAAACGAGGUACAUAAUCCCCGCGGCAGCACCGGCAAGAAGCGUAAAAGCGACUGCCGUGAGGAUCGUCCAUAACAUGCAUGUAAGACGGCUGCAGUAGCGGCAGCGACGGUUCGGCAGAGACCUCUCAUUGGUUGUGGGGACGGUGUGUGGCGGUUCGUUGGUUGUGGGGACGGUGUGUGGCGGUUCGUGAUUGGUCGGCCGGGUCUUGGAGGACACCGAGGCCUCCUCGGGAGGCGGACUCGCCGCCGGAUGAAUUCGGAGGCGGUCCGCCAUCGCCGGAGACACUUUUCCGGCCCUCUCUUUAAGAAGCUAAGAGAGGACUGCUAUUUUCAUUUGCACCUGGUGAAUGGUGGGGGUUCUCUGCAUGUUGUUGUCUUUUUCUUUUUCUUUUUAAUUAUUUUUAGAAUUUAAAGAAUUUAAUUUAAUUUUAUUUUUUGAGAAAUGGUCCACAAGUUAUUGCUUGUGUAUUUCAUUCGCCACGCCAAUAGAAACGAAUUUGAAAGGAACGAAAGAGACCGCAAAAUUAAAAUUAAUUUAUUAGAUAUGUUCUAUAAUAUUCAAAAAGUAUAUAUAUAUAUAUAUAUAUCUAAAAAAUUAUAAAUUUGAAAUGUCAGUUCCGCACAAAUCAAACACUUUUGUCUCCUCCUCCUAUUGAUUACUGAGGCUAUUAAAUAUCUCACUUCAUGUAAAUUAUUUAGAUGGUGGACGUCAUAUUUUUAAAUUUAUUUAAAUUAAUGAUAACGCGGAACCACGGAGUGUAGGCAAUAAUUUUUCAGAAUAAAGGGUUAGGCUUAUUCUUAUCAAGCUAUACCAUUAGAUAUUGUGAUAAUUAAAUAAAAAAAUAGAUAUUGUGAUAAUAUAGAUCCGACUUUCUGUCCCGUAAUAAUAGACUCAGAAGACUAACAAGUUGAGUUGGGUGGGCCUAAUAAGUUAAGUGGGGUUGCGGUCCGCAAGAGACCUAAUGACAAGUGGUCCAGCAAUAGGCCUAACGUCCAGAUAGAUUGAGUUACGUUGAAAUCUGCGAGUGUUAUGAUUGAAUCCUUAAGUGUGAUGAGUGCGCUCUUUCUAUCUGUACGUAUUUUUGAAAUAAUUGGUUAGUACUUAUGAUCCACAAUUACCAUAAGAAUAUAUAAAUGAAUGAGUACUGUAUUUGUAUGACAUGUACAAGAUACAUUGAGGUUUACUUUUCCAACUAUUUUAACCUUUUGUAUUUUAUCAAUUAUGAAAUUUGCUUUAUAAAUAUUGGUAAUUCAAUACUUUGUUUAGAUGGAAAGAAAAUGAAAACAAAUGGGAAAAAAAAAUGGAGAGAAGUGAAAAGAAAAGAAAAUACUUAUUUUCUUUUAUUUUUUUUAUUAAGUUUCUUUACUAUUAUUUUUUUCUUCUCAAUAUUCAAUCCAAAUUAUAAAAGAUAUUCUAUUCCAUUGUCAUUUUGAGUUUCUCUUUUCCUCUCUAUCUAAACGGAGUAUAACAAAAUAAUUUAAAAUCCAAUUAAAGAAAAAAUUAAAAAAAUGGGAGUUGAUUUUAGUAGAAGAUACAUUGAACUUUUCCUACAUUUUUUUUUCAGUUCCAUGUAAAAAAUAGCAAAAAACAAAAAAGAAAAAUCUCAAGAAAAAGAAAAAUCUAAAACGAAAAAACUACUAUUGCACAAAAAAGAAAAAAAAAAGUAAGCGCAAUAUAAACCCACAUGAUCUUAUUUAAUUAUGUAACCUCCAAAAGUCAACAAGGAAACAGCCCUAUUAUGUCUUUUUCUCUUUUGUGUCGGCAAAAAAAGUCAACGAUAGAGUCAGGGAAGCCAUGAGAGGAAGAGGAGAAGUUAUCCAAGGGAGGAGAGUCGAGGGGCGCAACCUUCUCCCCACCGCACUGUUGGACAAAUCAGGGAAGAGAAAGGAGCCGCAGAAGAGGGUGGCGUGGGCGGACGAGGUAGGUAGGGAGUUACUCCAGGUCUUCAGGGGUCGUGAUGAAGCUGAGGAGUCUUUAGCUGCUUCUAGCAAGGGCGAUCUUCGAGAGCAUAAGAACCCUCUUAAUGGCUAUCAGCAAAGGAGAGCAACUCAGGUCGCCCCAGUAGAUCAUGAUGAAGCUGAGGCGACAACAGCUGCUUCAAGCAAGGGCGUCCAUCGAGACCAAAAGCUCCCACUUAAUGGUUAUCAGCAAAAGAGACCACCUCGGCUAGCUCCUGAAGGGCCUUUGUGUACAGGGGGAUGCAGGAAGGAUGGUGGUGGCAUUAACUGCCCAUUAAUUGACUAUAGAUCUUAUAAGGAGGUGUUACUAUGGGGGGAGCAUUCUCACUUAACCCAUCACCAGCCUCUUAGCUCUCGUCUUCCCCCCUCCAAAACUCGGUCUAACCCUCGGGUAUCUCACUCUGCUCGGGUAGAGAAGAGGUGCUUCCGGUGCCUUGCCAGGGACCACGUUGUCGCGGCUUGCCGGGAUCCUGUUAGGUGCCUUAGGUGUUGGCAUACGGGGCACCGAGCAAAGUUCUGCAACACUAAGUUGGCCAGGUCUGCGGUUAUCAUGAACAGAGCACUGCACCACCAGAGGCGGGCCCCUCAGGCGAAGGUGUACGUACCUUUCACUGAGGAAUACCUGCGCAGGGUGGAGUUGCGGCGCAACGCUCUUCUCGCUGACGUGAUCCCUCCGGCCAACCUUGGGCCGGACCCUAUCAACACCAUCAAAAGUGCUCUCGCCCGUCGUUUCGGGGGGUACAACGACGAUUUUUCUGUUGCUCGCUGUAGAGAGAGGGAUUUUGCCGUAUUCCUAUCGGAAUGGGUCCCGGUAGGGAUUCUGACGAGAAGGGAGAUUCUUACCCUUGAUGGAUUUUGGCUCCGCUGCUACCCUUGGGGCCAAUAUCGUGAUGCUCGUCCCCACCCCGUCCAAUAUAAGGCGUGGAUCAGGCUUAUCAACCUACCAUUCGAGAUCUGGACGGUGCCACGAGUAGCUGCGUUGGUGAGUGGGUUUGGGCGCUUCAUCAAGGCGGACGGACCGACAAAGGCGUUGAUAGACCUUCGAGCCUUUAGAUGCCAAAUCGCGCUUGACUCUAUUUUCAGCAUCCCACAAAAUCUUUCGGUUAUCGUCGGUGAAGAACGCUUCCCUGUUAUGGUCCAUCUUGAGAUGUGGGAGAGGUUCGAACAAGGAGGAGACAACGCCCCCCCCGGGCCGCCGCGCCUUGAUCAUGACGAGGCCGGGGGGCCGGCGGAAGAUCGGAAUCCAGCCCGGCAAGCCGAUGGAGACGACGCCGGGAUGGACGAGGAGAUGGGAGAUGCGCCUGGGGAACUAGAGCAAGCUGAGCCAGCUCCACAAGAACCCAGGCCGUCGGGGGCUCAGGAGCGUGACAAGGCGGCACUGCUGAACCACCGGCAGCCAGGGGGUUCGAGGCCGCAAUCUGCUUUUGGGGCCACCCAGGUACUACGGUCCACAGGGAGACUCCGAGCUGAGGCUGCGCGCAGUCGCGGGGCCCCGAUGGGUCGACGUGGUGACGGACCCGACGACAGGAAGGCUCUGGCGCCGAGGAAGGCUGAGCGACGCGCUCCCCCGGCGGGGCGGUUGCGGUUCCGCGCGGCGGCCGAGCGCAGUCGCGGGGCCCCAACGGCUCACCGUGGCACGAGGCUCGAAGCCAGGGAGGCACUGGUUUCGAGGAAGGAUGAGCAUGGCUCUUCCCCCACGAUUUGCUUCAGGAGGGUUUCUGGUCAGAAAAAGGUUUCGAUCCUUGCCUCGCCUGUUUCUUCUUCCGAUGUGGUCUCGAAUGCCUCCCAGGCAGGAAAGACGUUUCGAUUGGGGUGCAGCUUUAAUUGUGAAGUUGGGAUACCCGAGGAGCUUAUGAUCCAGAGUCAACCCUUGCUUUCCUCCACUUUGCAAGGGCCCACGUCUGCUAGGCCCCCACUUGUCCCCUCCAAGGCCCAACUAAGGUGGACCUUUUUCCAGAGUAGACUUGCUGUGGGCCUAACGUCCGGGUCCACUUCGCUCUUCCGAGCCGAGAUUUUCUUAUGUUCUCCCCAUCAGCUACUUAGGUGGAUCUCGUGGGAAGGGACGUUUAAUGGGCCGACCUUCUUCCAUCCAUGUUCGGUGGCGAGCCAGCUUCUCCUAGCUUCCGGAGGGGGGGAUCUGACUACUUGGUGUCUUGCGGUGGGGGGCAAGGGCCACGCCCCUCUGGCCGAUUUCGCCGAAUACCAGGUUUUCGCCCCCCACUCGCCUGACUCGGUGGACUUCGGCGACGGAGGGAGUGUCAACCGACACUUCAUGGUACCGGACUUGGGCCACGACUGCCCACUCUUGCCUCUCGAGCUCCCCCCCUUGGAUGCCUCGCCGCCUGUGGAGAUCUCGCUUCCAGUGCUCAGCGAGGCCCCUCUGGUCCUUUUUUCUGGAAGCCAAGUUCUUGCCCCCCGCUUGCCGGACUUGGUGUGUAGCGACGACGGAGGAAGUGAAAGCAGGCACUAUCCGGCACGCCGAUCGUGGGCUGCGGACAUCAGGAUUACCGCAACGCACACUAUGAAGACUAGGGCCAGCAUCCGACUCGCCGGGUCCGAUAAGAACUCCAUUUUGGCCAAGGCGAUGCUACGGAAGAUUAGUAUGCGUGAAGGUGAGAUUUCUAAAGGGCGUUCCUCAGCGGUCUCGAAGACUAUCGCCAAGAGUCGUCUCUGUGGGGUGGACUUGGCCGACUGUGAGGCGGAUCACUUCUCGGCGUUCCUAAAGGGAAGCGUGUAGGCUGGGUUGUUGUUAUGACGGCAAUCACUGUUUUGGGUUUCGGGUGGUGGGUGCCUUUUGUUUAGUUAUGUUUCGAGUCGCUAGUUGGAACGUUAGAGGGCUUAACGGCCCCUCUAAACGUAGUACUGUUAGGGAUGUCAUUUCUAAAUUGCGUAAUACGGUGGUCUGUAUCCAAGAGUCGAAAGUAGACCAUGUAUCAGGGUCCUUUUUAAGUAGUUUUGGUGGCCCCUCUCUGAACAAAUGUGUGUAUCUUGCGGCCAAUGGGGCCUCUGGGGGAGUUAUUACGGGGUGGAGCUCACGCUUCUUUUCUUGCCUAAACGUGCUCGUUCGAAAAUUUUCCAUCACCACCCACCUUUCCUUUGUCACGGGCGGAUGCAAUUUCUUCGUUACAAAUGUGUAUGGCCCUGCUUCCUGGGAUGGUAAGGAGGAAUUCUUUGCAGAGCUGGCUAAUCUUAAGACGGAUUGCACUGGCAAGUGGAUCAUUUGCGGCGAUUUCAACUGCACGAGGGGACAGAGUGAACGUAGGGGUAAACUCUGGAGUACCAAAGCCACAAGGUUGUUUAACGACUUGAUCAAAGAGCUUGCUUUGAUUGACCCGCCAAUGGCUAAUCAAUCCUUCACGUGGUCCAAUAUGCAAACGAAUCCCACGUGCGCUAGGCUUGACCGCUUCCUGGUUUCAACGGAAUGGGACCUGACCUUCUCCCUUACUAGAGUGGAAGCACUACCGCGCAUUACCUCAGACCACUAUCCCAUCCUCUUAUCGAUAGAGGGUGGUUCCAAGCUGAGAAACAAGAUCUUCCGCUUUGAGGAUGCUUGGCUGAAUCACGAGGAUUUCUUAUCGAAACUUCCGAGUUGGUGGCAGGAAGGUGCCCGGGGAUCGCAAGGGAAGUCGGCAGUGUUAACUUUCACGGCCAAACUGAGACACUGCCGCAUCAGGAUCAAGGAGUGGUGUGCCAACGAGUUCUACAGUAUUAGAGGUCUCAAGAAACACCUUACGGAUGAAAUUCAGCGAAUCGAUAAAGAGGAAGAGCUCGGCCCUCUUGUGCAGGAUUCUGUGUCUAAGAGAGAGGAGUUAAAGACAAGACUACGAGGGGUGCUACUGGACGAAGCCUCUGUUUGGAAAACCAGGGCCAAACAACACUGGCUACGGGAGGGUGACAGCAGCACUAAAUUUUUUCAUUCUAUAGCUAACGGUAGACGGAGAGCUAACUGGAUUGUUAACGCGGGAGAGAACGGGGUCAGAUAUCACUCAGAAGAGGGGAAAAAGUGCUACUUCUACCAGUAUUACAAAGCCCUAUUCUCACCGGACGAGUCAGCCCCAACUAUGUUCGGGGAUUGGAGCAAUUUAUUCCAGUCUAGUAGGGUGGCGGCCUCCGAUCUAACGAGGCUGACUGCUCCGUUUAGCAUCGAAGAAAUAAAGCAGGCGGUGUUCCAACUGGGGAGGGAUAAGGCGCCAGGCCCGGAUGGCUUCCCGCUUAGCUUCUAUCAGACCUUCUGGGACACUGUUAAGGAGGAUAUCGUAAACAUAUUCCAAGAAAUGUACGAGGGGAACCUAGCCACUGGCCCCAUAGACUACGCUUUUAUUUGCCUUGUCCCCAAAAAGGAGGGGGCAGUGCAGGCAAGCGACUUUCGCCCAAUAAGCCUGCUCAACGGGAUCCAGAAGAUCCUAUCUAAGGUUCUGGCCAAUCGCCUUGAACAGGUCAUGGGGGACCUAAUAUCUCCUUCGCAGUCUGCCUUCCUCAAAGGAAGGAACAUCACAGAUGCUUUCGCGACGGUUGCAGAACUUGUUGCUUGGGGGGCCAAAAAGGCGGUCGAGGGAGUGGGGGUCAAGGUAGACUUUGAGAAAGCGUAUGACAGGAUUUCUUGGCCUUUCCUAUUUCGUACACUACGAUGGUGGGGAUUCGAUGAAAAGUGGUGCGGUUGGGUAGAGCUAUGUGUUAGCUAUGCGAAAGUAGCUAUUCUAGUCAACGGUGAGCCGACAAACUGGAUCAAGACGAAGAGAGGUAUUAGGCAGGGGGAUCCGUUGUCGCCUUUCCUAUUCUUGUUGGUAGCAGAGUGCCUAGCCCGUAUGACCAACGUUGCGGUCUCUAACACGCUGCUCAAAGGCUUGGGACCCUCGGAGACAAGCAGGAGUUCCUUGAUUCAAUUCGCGGAUGACACUUUCUUCUUCUGUGAGGCAAGGAAAAGGUAUAUGCGUAACCUCAAAUUUGUAUGGGGGCUCUUCGAAUGGGCCUCAGGGUUGAAAGUGAAUAGAGAGAAAUCGGAAUUGUUCUACCUGGGACAAGAAGAUGGCAGAGCUGCAUGUUUAGCGAGCAUUUUGAAUUGUAGAGUGGGAGUCUUUCCGACCAAGUACUUGGGUCUGCCCCUGUCUCCCAAGCCACCUUCUAAGGAGGACUGGAGGGGGAUUAUCCAAAAGUUACACUGCAAAAUUGAGGGUUGGCACGCCAAACUACUCUCUAGGGGGGGCAGACUUAUCUUGGUUAAUGCGGUCCUAACUAACCUACCGUUGUACUUCCUUUCGGUAUUCAAGGCACCUAAAUGGGCGAUUAAGCGGAUUGAAGCGCUUAGAAGAGACUUUUUCUGGAAUGGAGGGCGUAACUCCGUAGGCAAGGGCUGUCUGAUGGCUUGGCAUAAUGUCUGCAAGAGUAAGAAGGAAGGAGGACUAGGUAUUUUGGAAGUUGCGAGCAUGAAUCAAGCCCUUCUGGUUAAAUGGUGGUGGAAAUUCCAUACAGCUCCCCAGCUACAAUGGAAUAAAUUAAUUCGAGACCUGUACUAUCGCCGUCGUAUUCCGUUGAGGGAAGGCAAAUCUUUCAGACCCUACUCUAGCUGGUGGUCCGGGGUGCUGAGCCUCAACUAUAUUUUUUCCUGGGGCAUGGCCUACAGCCUAGGCGACGGGCGGGCUAUCGAUUUUUGGCACGAUCGGUGGUGUGGGGAUAAUUGGUUGUUUCUUUUGUUCCCGACGGCUUACCUCUUGUCUGGGGGGAAAAAUUUGAAAGUCAGCGAAUGUUUCACGAGGGGAAAUUGGAAGUGGUCUAAGAUUGAGGGUGACGCUACCAGUCAGAGCCGAGGGACGAGAGCUAGUUUCGUGGAGCUAGAGGUACGGAUCUCUCAGCUUGUGGUUCAGCCCAUACCGGACAAGAUACUUUGGCGAUGGAGUGAGGAUGAACUAUUCUCGGUAAAAUCAACCUAUUUGGCGCUGACGGAUGGGGGCACGAGGGACGUUCAAGCCUCUCGUAUUUGGAGACUCAAAAUUCCAUUAAAGGUAAAAGUGUUCUGUUGGCUGGUCCUCAAGAAGAGAACUCCUACGAGGGAUAAGCUCUUCAAGAGAGGGUGGACUCAAGACGCAACCUGCGUUCUUUGUGGGUCGGAUGAUGAAACUGUGGACCACUUGUUCUCCCAGUGCAUUUUUACCAAGUACAUUCUAAUAAUGGGGGUAGAUGGCGUGCUAACGCAAGACCUAGGGGACGAGGUGAACCUAGUUUGGGACAGAUGGUCACUCAGGAAGAGUCCCCAUAAGAAGAGAAACAGUCUUACUGAAUUAGUUAGCUGCUGGUGGAUCGCGUGGAAAGCCAGAAACGACUUCAUCUUUAGGAAAACCCAGCCGAAUCCGGGAACGGCGAUCCGUGACUUCAAUCUGCUGGUGAAGGAGUGGGACUCACUGCUCUCAGCUCUCAUCACGUAACCUCUAUCUGUAAUGGGUGUGUGUGUGUGUGCGUGUGUGUGCGUUUUUUUUUUUUUUUUUUUUUUUUUUUUUUUUCAGGGGUCCGAGUUGCCCCACUCUUGUAGCCUAGUUCAUCUGUCUAAUGAAUGAAGCGGGUAGCGUGCUACCUUUCUCUCAAAAAAAAAAAAAAAAAAUUAGAAACCCCCCUGAAGGAAUGUAAUAAGUUGAUUGUUACCCGGACAUGGGUGAAAAGUGUUCCUGGAGUGCAAAUUUAUAUUUGCUUCUGAACGCACUGUUCUUUUGAUUUUUUUUUUUUCCUCUCUCUUUUUAUCUUAUUACUAUACCAAAUUGAUUACUGCUUCAGAANCGAUAUAGGAAGUUUUUUUUUAAAAAAAAUUUAAGAAAGUCAACGACAUGCGCAUAAUUAGUUAUUUCAGGGGGUGAUUAAAAAUUAUUAUUUGGUAGAAAAAAAAAUCGUGAAAACUAAACUUUUUCACGAAUAGAAAAUUUGAAAAACUGUUACACUAUUUUAUCAUAAAAUAUGAAAAAACAUUUAUUCAAAAAAACUAUGUUUUCUAAAAGCUAAACAGGUGAAAAAUACUUUUUCUGCAAAAUAAGAAACACCCCCUGAAAAGAAAUUGUUUGGAGCUUUUGAAAUUAUAUCUUUUAUAUAUUUAUAGCAGGGUUGCUGUGCUCUCAAGAGCAAGGAGGCCUCCGUGCUCCUGAGCCAUUUUCGAUGAUGGAAUUUUCGAAUCGACGAUCGGCUCCGUUAGACUUGAUCUAGGAUAUUUGAAGUUUCUAGAAAAUAAUUUUUGCUGCUUUUUGAUAUCAUUUACCUAGUGAUCGAAAGGAUUCAAAAUCAAUAAUUUUUAAUGGUUGAUAUCUGUCGUUUUCAAGUUUAACGGUGUAGAAGUAUUCAAAUCAGAUAAAAUUUUGAUACAAAAUUCUUUAUACUAUCUACAACAAGAUCAAUAUUUCUGAUCGAAAAUUUUAGUGCUAUAUCACUACUUUUUAUAGGAUUUUUAUUUUCAGCCGUUAAAAAUUAUUAAUUUUGAAACCUUUCGAUUGUUAGUUAAAUGAUAUCGAAAAAUCACAAAAAUUAUUUUCUAGAAACUUCAAAUACGCUAGAUCAAGUCUAGCGGAGCCGAUCGUCGAUUCGGAAAUUCUAUCAUCGAAAACGGCUCAGGAGCACUGAGGCCUCCGUGCUCCUGAGAGCACAGCAGCCCUGCUCAUAUAUAUAUAUAUAUAUAUAUAUAUANAUAUAUAUAUAUAUAUAUAUAUAUAUAUAUAUAUAUAUCGACCAUUUAAAUUGGGUUUAAGAAUAAAUUACAUAAAAUGUCUCUGUCAAAAUCCGAUUUUUCACUUUCUCCCCUUAUAAUUUAAAAACCUACACUUUGUUCCAUUAUAAAAUGAAAAAUGUUCACAGGGGGAUACAAUGUGAACUGUGAUGACAAAAUGAUCAUUUUGCCUCUCAUCAUUUUUGUCUCCUCCCUUAUUUUACUCAUCCGCGGCCUCGAUCGACCGCGGUUCGCGCCUCCGCGCCUCGAUCGGCCGUGGUUCCUCUCAAUUUUCUUCUCCACCUGCUCCCUUUCUCCUCCUGCACUCUCGUCGCCCCUCCAUUUCAACGAUAGUAAGGAGGAAAUCGAGAUGGGCAUGAAUGGAGAGGUGGGUAAGGGUAACGAGGGCGAAGGUGAGGUGGCGGAGGAGGGCGAGGGGGUAUUUGUGAGCGCGGACGGAGAUGUGGGCAAGGGCGAGGCAGUAGAGGAGGGCGCGGCGGGGGAAGGCGAAGUAACAAUAGAGAGGAUGGAGUGUAUUUUUGACAUAAAAAAAUACUUUAAACGAAACCCCAACAGAUUACUAACGGUAGGAGAUGAAGUGAAUAUUUUUUAUUUUAUAAGGAGGCAAUGUGUAGAUUUUUAAAAGACAAGAGAGAAAAAUGAAAAAUCGAAUUUUGAUAGGAAAACAUUUUGUAAUUCAGCCUAGGUUUAAUUAUAAAAUUCUGCCUCGCACGCUACAUUAUAAAACGUAUCGAUUAGCUCUCUACACUUUGCCUUUGAUUCAAAUGGAUUUAUAAAUUUGAGUUAAUCAGGAAAUUAUGCUAUAAACCUUUACUAAAAUAAUUUGAUAUAUCACAUUAUUCCCCAUCUCAAUAUUGAUCUAAUUUGUGAUUUGGAAUAUCACAUUGUUCCACAUCUCAACAUCUAUCUAAUUUGCUGAUACAUUGAACAGAGAAAUAAUCUCGAAAUUAUGUUACUACCAUGCAUCAUUGCAAAGGAGCUUCAGGAUUGAGAAUAGCCUGAAAGUUCAUCGAAUGCAUCACUAUAAAUAAUCUUACAACCAUCAGGAACACAGUGGCAUAGAAAAUUUCACAUUUCUUGUAACAUAAAUGUAAUACCUCAAUAGUCCCACAUUGGAUGGAUAUAAAAUUGUCAUUAGGUAUAUAAGAGGACUCCACCCUAAUAAUAAUAACUGGACUUAAGCAUUUUGGGCUGGUGGUCUUGGCCCAAUGAGUUAUUAUUGCAAGCGGGUCAAAUCGUUGCAUUAGAUAUCAGAACUAUUCACCAGCUGAAAGUGUGAGAUGAGUCUUGAUUGAGCCAGAAUUGGAAUGAUAGACUAAGCCCAAGUUGGUGACUAACAUGUUAAGUAAGGGUUGGACUGACAAGUCUAGCGAGACAAAUCUCACAUCACCUGGUGAUGUUAGGCUGUGUGUGUGUGUUUAGAGCUGACAGAACGCUAAGGCCUAAACGGGGGGAGUCAGUGAUAUCAUGAAAAUGCUCCACUUUAGUAAUGGUCUUGACCCAACGAGUUAUUAUUGCUAGCAGGUCGAGUCGUUACGAUAAAUCAUCACAUUUUUCACAAAAUGUUGUUACAUGAGAGAUAAAUUAGCAUAUUCUUACACUAGCAUCUGCCAUGAAAAAGCUUCUCCUCGCAAGACGAAAAUUUACCAAAAUUUUGGAUAAGCUUUUGCAAACUAAGCUACAAUGCUGGGCUUAAAUAUACAAUAUGAUUGUAAUCACGAAACCUGCACCGAAGUUCGCUUCUGCGCAGAUCCACCGAACGGAAGUUCAAUCUGUUUUUCCCGGUUUUUUAAGACUAAAACAAACAACGCAACUCGGUUGCUGCGGUAAUCAGGAUGCCACUCCGUUUGAUCGAUGCAGCCAACUAGGAAGUCCUCCAUCGCAGCAUCCAAGAAGCACUCGAGCACAACAUCUAUCAAAUGAAUUUUUUUUUCUUUUUUAAAAAGUGGGUUUGAUCGAAAGCUCAACUACGGCAGAGUUGAAUUUUCAGUAAAGGUUUAGAGACUUUACCAUUACGGAGCUCUCCAGCCAGGAAGAUCGUUGUGUGGGUCCCAGAAAGCUGUUUUAGGGUAGUCAGUAGAUCCUCGACUGCUUCUUCGCUGUAAAUUACGUCUGACCCAAGUACUAGAAUGCGAAAAUGUUCACAAGCACCCGGACGGUAGUUGGUUAGUCCAAUGAUACAUACACAUAAAUGUUCGAAAAAAAUCGCUAGUUUAAUAUGAGAGGAAGAAUGCUGCAAAGCUUUAUUUUUUCGUAAUGAAGAUGAGAAUAACUUUUGAGUUAAAUAUCCAAGAUAUUAAAUUAAAUUAUUAGAAGCUAAUGAGUAUCCCUAGAUACUGUGUCUACUGUAAUUGGAGACAUAACUGUAUAUUAAGUUGAUGCCAUAGAAUUCUUGUUCAUGGAAAGAAAAUUACAGAAACAAACUCUAUCUAUGAUAUUCCGAAGGUUCCAAUUGUUUUUUAAUAACACGUGGGUCAUUCAUCUUACAUACAAAAAGUAUUGAACCGUAUUAAAAUUCUUCGGGGGAGCAAACUUGGUUCCUGUUUGGCCUGAUUUUUGGAAAAACUUCUCAAUUCCCAACAUUUUUAACAGCUUUCUUGAGAGCAGAAGCCGUUGUUCGUGGCUUUUCUUUUUGCUGCAACAAAUUAGCUACUAGUGCUUCUUUAAACAAUUUUAUUCAAACAAAAAACUUACAGAAGCUCCAACCAGGUCAAACAGUUCAUUUAGGAGUUAGGACUCGGGAGUAAUAAGAAGAAGGUAAAAAACCAGAAAAUUACCAAAUUCAGGUGGGGGUUCCAUCAAUUCUGGAUCGGGAUCAUCGCCCCAUGUGAGCUCGCUUACUGUUGCGGAUCCACGGGAAUGCCCUUCCACAUUGAGUUCCACAUUCUUCUUUAAGAGCUUCAGCCGGUCGGGGAGGUCAGUAAGCACAACAUCUGCACCCAGAAGAGCUGCAAUACAUCUUAAGAGGAAAAGAAAAGGCACUCAAAACUACCAUAGAUUGAUAGAUAUGACCAUAUCAAAAGACUCAACAGCCACAGCCAUAACAAUAAUAUCGGCUAAAAUUGUUAAUAGUUAGAACUAAUCCUGACUGAGAGUUCACAGCUCGCCUCUUUGUCCUAUAAGAAGCUUCUGCAGAAAACAGUUCGAGUAGAGCUGUCUGAAGAAAGCGAUGGCUUCUGUUCAGUAUAUCCUGCCAGAUUCUCUUUCAAAUUAGACCUGCUUUUGACAGCAGAAACUCAUUUCUAAUUCCCGUCCUAGUUAAAAAAUUCCAAGUCAUUUGUCUGCUUUGUUGCUUCUUGAGUAAAGAAGCUGCUGCAGAUCGACCAGAAAAUAAGUGCCUAUUAUAUGUUAACUAAUAGAGGAAGCAGAUAGUUCAUAAUUUAGCAUGCAAAUUACUCGUCUAAUACAGGUAAAAAGUGCCCAUGGAUCAUAAAUUACAAAUAAAAUUAGAGAAAACCAAAAAGGCCAUACCUGCUCAAUCUUUGAUCUGAUUGAUAUCGAAACCUAACGUAUUAAAAGUUGAAGUUUACAUCACAAACAAUCAAUUUGUGUUAAUCAACUACUUCACCCCAUUUCACCCUUCAAAAAAUGAAUUUGCCCUUCACAUGAUAUCGAUAGAAAAUUCAAUUGCGACCAUUGAUUGAAACGAAUGGAUUAUUUCACUAGUAAAUUUUAACUUUUUCAUCUCAUGAUGGUGAUGCAUAAUCUGUGCAAAUUAAGAACUUCUUAUUUUCCGAUAUGCCGAGCCUCGAUCAAACACCUUGUGCGCAAGAACACAUACCCAACAAGACCGCACCCCGCGCCGAGCUCCACCGCCCGCCGGCCUCGAAGGAGGAGCCUCCCCGAAUCGACGGCGUGCUCCAGGAACUUGCCGAGGACGACUCCGCUAUCCCACAUCACCGCCCCGGUCACGCCCGGCGCACUCUUCAUAAUAACAAAUCAGCAUCCUCAUCACAUAACUUGUUCUAAUUCUACUAAUUUUCACCCUAAACCUUAGACAAAUGCUUGCAACAAUAAAAAAAAAAAAUCACAAAAAAGUAGAAAAGAACAACCUAUGACAAUAUAAGUCUGAUCAACUAAUUCAAGUAUUUUAUAGCUUUUUUUUUGUUUUUACCUCGAAAAUGAUGGAAACAUAAAAUGGUUAUGCAAAAAUUUUGCGUCUUUAUAAACUUGCGCCUACAAUUCGUUUUCGUUCCUUGAAAUUAAAACAUGGGUCUACGUACUGCAAAUUAGGGUUUCAUAUUCCUAGAGAGAGAGAGAGAGAGAGAGAGAGAGAGAGAGAGAGAGAGGAAACCAUGGCGGAGGGGGAUUGGAGGAUGGAGAGGUGGCGUCCGCAGGCGUCUAGGGUUAGGGUUUGGGCGGAGUGGCGGACGAAGGCGUUGUGGCGGUGGGCGGUGGGCUGCCGCAGCGCCCACAGGAGGAGGAUCUCCUCCGCCGCCGACUCCGCCGCGCGCACCGCCCCUCCGUACGCUCCCAUCGCCGCCACCGUCGCCGCCGCCGCCGCCGCAUCCCCGUCGGCGCCGCCGUGCUCCGCCGCGGCGUCCAUCGCCCGCUCGGCUCGGGGGUAGGGGGCGGAGCGAGCACGAGGAAACGAAGAGGAGUGGGGUAGUAGUCGAAAACGGUUCACAACCGGUUUGGUUUAUUUAGGGUUAAUUCCAUACAACUUAAAUAGCAAAAAUAUCCCUAUAAAGUUGAUCCUUUUAUCCUUUUAUAUUUAUCCCUUUAAAAGUUCAAUAAUAUUUAUAUUAAUCCCUCAUAUUUAUUAUGGUUAAAGUAUUGUUCAAUUUUUAAUAAAAAAUAAGUGAAAUGAUAUUUUUAUCAUCACAAAUAUGUUCUUUAAAAACACCAACUAUUAGAAUUAUACAAAAAUAUCUUACUAAAAAUUUCAACGGCCAUUUUUUUUUUCUUUCUACGAUCACAAAUAACAUAAAAGGGGUAAAAAGAUCAAUUUAUCUUAUUCAUUAACUAGCGUUAAGUAUUUAACAGCUACGAUAUAUUUGAAAACGUUAAGACUUUUUGACAAAAAUAAAUAUAAAAAAUUAAAUUUUGUAGAAAUAUAUUUGUUAUUCGAUAUAUUUUCAGAAAAUAUAUGCAAUUAAUUUUUUUUUUUUUGUUAUGUGAUAUAUGCGGCCCAUUUGAAAGUACGACUUGGACCGGACCGGAUUGCCUCCGAGCCAAAUUGGACCAGGCCACGGUUCGUUCCCGAUCAGGCCGAACCGGGCCGGGUCGAGCAGUUACAGGCGGAUAAAUGAAUUGGUAUUAGGAGUUCUUAAAAAUUAAAUUUCACAAUUUUAUUAUAUCAUUUGCUUAGUGCUCAAGCCGUCUCAAUUUUAUCUUAUAUCAGCUAUUAAAAAUUAUCAAAUUUUAAAUUAUUUAAAAAUUAUACAAAUAAUAUGAAAAAAAAUAAAAAUUUGAAACCUAAAAAGUUAAAAAAUCUUAAAUCAAAUUUAAGGGUGCAAAUUGUUAAUUCAGAUGUCCUUUUCGGCGAAAAUAAUGUGGAAAUAAACAACCUCAUUUACUUUUAGAAAUAAGUUAACCCAGCUUUUGAUGUUGCAAAUUUAAAUAGAAUUAAGUGGAAUUCAUACGAGAAAAAAUUCAAUUGAAUUUGUUUAGAAAUGAAACUCUUUUUUUUCCAAUGAAAUUGAAGGUCAGUUUAAUUCUAUUUAUGUUUUAUUGUUCAUAUUUUCUCCAUAGUUAUGUACUAGGAAAGAUAUUACAAUUAAUUUAAAAUGUGCUAUAUUUUGGGAUUAUUGAUAAUGUAUACCCGAUCUCAAAACUAUAGGAAUUGGAAACAUUAAAAGCUUACACUAAAUUCAUUCAAUGUAAUUGAAACUACAUGCACAUAGGUUUUACAUUUGUAGAUUAAUAUAUAAUCCACUAUUAUGUAACUAAUAAUAGUGCACUAAUUACUAUGGAUUAGUUUGAUUCAGCAUCUGGUUCUCGUCGAGCACCAGAGGGCGCCGGCGUCCCGCGUCAGCGCCCGCACCGCCCUCGCGCUCCCCACCGGGAACUGCUGCUGUCGGUUGUAUCCCGGACGGACCCUUCCGUGGCCCGACUGCCUGAAGAAGGCACCGUUCGCGAACGCGUCAUUCACCGACCGCCAGUUCCACGACUCCCCCUCCCCGUUUCCGGCGAUCCUCGAUGUUACCUACGAAUAGCAACGAACGAACUUAGUGCUUAUUUAGCCUAACUUUUGACGGCUGAAGUGGAGUUCAGAGCUUUUGCAGUGGUGGAAAACUAUUUGUUACUUUUAAUAUUUUUACAAAAAAUAGUAUGGUGUCGUUCUGAUCUGAACAUCUCUAUUAAAAAUAUUAUAAAAUUUAAUAAUCAAUUCAAAAUGAUUCAUAAUUUAGAUAAAUUAUGUACAUUUUUAUCUUAAAAUUUAUGUUUCUGCUGUAGCAAGAAGCUAUAAUAAAAUCCUCCAAAAAUUAAAAAGUGUUAUUUUUUAAAUUAAUAACAAAGAUCAAAACUCCCACCUUUUUGUUGCUGGAGUUUGAUGCAACGAAGAGAUUGGCUUGGCUUUUGACACGUGGGCCCAUGCUCCCACCAAUGGCGUAGCUCCCCCACCCAUCGUACAAGUUAUUCACCACGUGCGCAUAUCCAUGCCUUAUCCUGAAAAAGUUUUCCUUCCGAAUCUUAAUACUGUAUACUGUAUUUUGUUACAUUACAUACGAAUUCAUUGAAUCUGAUCAUUAUUCACCUCGGCAUGCGCUGGUUGCAGUUGGGCCCGAAGCGGUUGAAGGCGACGGUGACGCGCAUGCGGCGGUCGGCUAAGUAGCCGUCGUCGUGGCCGAGGAGCAUGACCUUGUCGUGGUCCCGGAACCAGUUGUUGGACACCGUCACCGCUGUUGAGCCGCGCGACACGUCGACCAGCCCGUCCUGCGACGCGUACAGCGUGUUGUGGUCCAACCACACCCGCCGAGACCCCACCAGCCGGAUCGCGUCCCCGUCCCCCGCCGUCGAUCGGAUGUUGUGGAAUUGGAGCCCGUGGAUGAUCACGUCGCUUACCUGAGCCAAAAGAACAACAAUCGUGUGCGUAUAUAAACAUGUGCAGAGUUAGGUCUUAUUUGGAUGUAUGAAUGUUUCGCUGACCAGAAUUAUGCACAUUACCUGAUAAAGUAAGAAUCCGGCGCCGUAGGCAAUUUGGACGUUGGCGCCGCGGCCGUCGAUGGUGGUGAAACUCUUGACGGCGAGUGGUUGCUGGAGCCUGAUUUGCAUGUCGUGCGCGAAGGUGAUCCACACCUUGCCCGGGAGCACCGUGGCCCCGUACCGGAGAGUGCCGGGCCGUGGGCGGACCGGGUCGUCGCCCGGGUUGGUCACGGUGUACCAUGUGAGCCCCUUCCCAAUGUUUCUUCGCAUUUUGCCCGCGAAGCCCAAAGAGCACACGGCUAGCCGUUCCCGAUUUGCGGCCCAAUUAGGGUUCCGGCGCCAGCACCGGUCGAUCACGUUCAUCGACCGAGUGCCGGUGCAGGAACCCGCGAGGACAAGGAGGAGGAAGAGGAGGAGAGAGAGAGUUAACUUGCUAGAACCCAUAUUUAUUUUUUAUUAUUAUUAUUUUUUUAUUUUUGUAUUUUUUUUGUAUUUUUUUAUUUGAAAUUGGGGGUGGUGUUGGAUCAUUUUUAUAGGGUGGAUUAGGGUUAGUAAGAGUUUGUUGAGAUGGGGAGUUGGGGCAUUGAGAGGUUGUAGUGGGGUUUUGCUUGAAAUAGUGAGAGGGUUUGGUAUGGGAAAUUUUUAUUUGUUAUGAAAUGUGGGGUUUAGGGGUCUUAAUGUUGUUUUUUUGUUUGCUUCUUUUUUUCUUUUUUUAUUUAGGUUUUGAUGAGUUAAUUAGCUCAUAAUUAAGCAAUUACAACAUUUAUAGAUCACAAGAGACUAGUUUUUAAUUAGGUUAAACAAAAAAGGAUCCUUAAUUCUAGAUAUUUUUAGGGAAAACUUCAAAAACACCCCCUGUGGUUUCAUAGUUUUUCACUUUGCCCCCCUGUGGUUUAAAAUGUAUCAAUUUGCCCCCCUGUGGUUUCUUUUUUCUCUUUUUCUUAUCAAAUUUCAUUAUUUUUUUUUCUUAAAUCAGUGAUAAAAUUAAAAUUAAAGGGUACUAAAGUGUAUAUUUGAUAAAUCUAGAUAGGUAUUUGAAGUUUUUUGUAUAUAAUUUAAUGAAAUAUUAACAAAAAAACUAUCGAAAAGAUAAAAACGAAACCACAGGGGUGCAAUUUGAUACAUUUUAAACCACAGGGGGGCAAAGUGAGAAACGACGAAACCAUAGGGGGUGUUUUUGAAGUUUUCCCAUAUUUUUAAGUCAUUUAUUAUUUAUAAAUAAUUUGAUUUUCUUUGGAUGUCAAUAGUGGAGAUCAAACUGAGAUGGAUUUGGACCUAUUUGUGUUUCAAUUAAUGUUACCCCUAAUUACAAUGUGAAAAUAUUUUUUUUUUUGUUUUUUUUUUUUUUUUGCUAUAUGUAAUAACAUGUUCGUCACAUUUUAUUAAUUAUUUUUAUGCAAGGGGUAGAUAUAGGGAUAUAUUAAAAAAGUUUAGUAGUAAAAUUUAUUCAUUCCCAAAUAGCUUUUUAAAGUAACACACAACUUACGAAACGCAAAAGAAUAAUAUUAAAACCCCAACAACAUAUCAAUUCUACAUGAUCUUCUUCUCUUACUAAAUUAUAAUUUGUAUUCUUCAUCAUCAUCAUCCUCGAUCAGUAUAUUUAUAUGUAAUUAACUUCUUAAUCCAACCACCUUAUUCACCAAAAUCAACCAUGCAUGCAUGCAAUUCUCAUGCACGUGUACGUGCGUGCAUGCAAGUCCCUCACCUCCGGCAAACCACGGCGUAUCCGCCACCGGAUUUACCGGUGCAGUCGAACACUGACUUAGACACCUCGACGAGCCCAGCGACUGCCGCGGCAGGUGCGGGGGAGAAUAUGCAGCUGCGGCAGUCGGAGGCGAGGAGCCCCGACGUUGCGUACCGGUCCUCGCCGCCCAUCACCGGCAUCGGCACCCCGCGCUUCACGGGGUUAUCAAACCCCGGCCGAUACGUCUGCCCCAACACCCCCUCGACGCUCUCCGAUAGCCCGAAGAACUUGAACUGCACAGCCAAGUGCGCGAAGCAGUCGUUGUCCGGCACGCCGUACCGGUGCACCGCGCUGUCCUCCUUCGUGACCGGCACCACAGAAGCCUUUAUCUCGAACACGCCUGCCAGCGUGACGAUGACGGUGUUGACGGCGCCAUUCCGCUCGACAAAGAGGCCAGGGGAGGGGGCCGGCGCCGGCGACCAGGAGGAGAGGUGGCCGACGUUGAGGGGGACGGGGCGGCCGUCGAAGGAGAGAGAGAGGUGGUCGGCGUGGGGGUCCCAAAAGGCGGCGGGGGUCGCGGAGAGGGUGAGGGAGUGGCGGCCAAAGCGGAGCCCGAGGGACUGUAUCCAGGUGAAGUCGCGGCGGCGGCCGGCGGGGCGGAGGCCGAUGAAGCCGGCGUUGAUCUGGAGGUUCGGGUCGGAGACGAGCGCGAAGUGCCCACCGGCCUUGCCGUGGAAGUAGAACAUCACUCCGUCCCCGCCAACGAACCGCGGGUCAUAGCAACUGGCACCGUUGCCGUCACAGUUCGGCUUCCGGUCUGCAAACAAAGAUUACCAAAGAUAGUAUCAGACACUAAGAUUCUCUAUUUUGAUACAAUGUAAAACAGCCGUCUAUCUAAAAUGUUCGCACUGUUUUGAAUCAAGACUUUUACACAGUAUAUAUAUAGCUUGCAUAUGCGUCCUACACAUGUUCUGAAUGUGCAUUAUAUAUAUAUAUAUAUAUAUAUAUANAUAUAUAUAUAUAUAUAUAUAUAUAUAUAUAUAUAUAUAUAUAUAUAUAUAUAUAUAUAUAUGUGUACUCACGGCGGCAAAUUCCGCCCUCGCAUUUUCGGUCGUUGCAGUCCACGAAGCAGCCCUUGGCUGUGGGGUCCGCCGGCUUGAACUGCGGGCACUCCGCCGGGCACGUCAGUGUCCUUCCGAAGCACCGCGUCGAGUUGUCGUUGCACACCGUCGUCUCCGGCGGGAACUCCUUCCCCUUCACCCGGAACGGCGGUGGUGGAGCUGGCCCCCGCGGCGGCGGCGGUGGCGACUGGUUCCCGUAGAGGUCGCCGCGGGCAAGGGACAUGCCCGCGAGGAGGAGAGCAAGGAGCAGAAGGGGAGUUUGGAUGAUACUCAUGGUCAACUACUUACGCCGCGCAUGUACAGAAGAAAUUUUAUUUUUUAUUUUUUAUUUUUUUUUCAGUGUGGGGGUACUAAUACCACCACUACUACAUAUUCAUUUAUAGAUGGUUUUGGUGGUGUGUGGAUUGAUGAGUAAGUUUGAAGCAGAUUAUUAUACAUGGAGAUGAGCGAGAUUUAGAUGAAGCAUGUGAAGGGAUUCACUUAAUAGUUUUUCGAUCCUACAUUAUUUACAACAGAGUAUUUGUGAGUUAUUUUUAAUUAAAUUAAUUUUUUUGAAUAUAUAACGUGGUGUUUGACCUAGUUUAAAGUAAAUUAACCUUAGUUUCAAGAGGCGUUAAUUAAAUUAAUUUUUUUUAACUUCUUGUUUAGCACCUUUUCUUUUUCCAAUCAUAAAUUGGCUCAAAAGAAAUGUUUCUUCCUAAUACUUAAUAACUUUAUCAGUUAAAUUAAAGUAAAAUUAUAGAUAGUUAAUGAUUAAUAUUGCGAUUAGGGUCAAUAUGCUUUGACCCCCAAUACUCGCCUUCUCUUGAUCAAACUACUUAUAGCAAUAUAAUAAUUAAGAGGAUGAUCUAUAAAUGAGAUGUGUGCACUAUACUAAUUAUUAAUCACCACCAUAUAUUUAAUUAUAAUCAACAAAUCUAGUUAGUUACUUCACAUUUUCAGCUAAUCGUUUGGUUCUUCAGAAAAAAAAAAAAACGUGAAAAAAAGUUUUUCGAGAAAAUAUUUCGUAUGAAAAACUUCCUUUUCACAUUUCUAUCCAGUUGAUUAAAAAAAAAAAAACUAGUUUUUCCGGAAAGUUUCUUCCUAAUUUUAUGAAAAACUAAGAUUUUUUAUUUCCUACAAAAAAUUCCAGAAAAUGAAAACUUUAAUUUGUAAAUUUUCAAAAAAAUUAGUUUUCUUUGAAACUAAAUGGAGUGCAGAAAAUUGAAACAGAGAUUUUUCCAUGAAAAUCUUUUUUUUGAAAUUUUUUUCAUGCUUUUUCGACGAAUAAAACCCCUCCUAAUUCCUAAUUUAUUUCUUAAAAAAUGAAUAGAAUAAAUAGCAUGUUAACCUUCUCUACUGCACACUAUUUAAGAUUUAUGUUAAGUUUAUUAGUAAUAAUUUUUCUAUUAUCAAUUUAUUUUGUUUUGUUUUUUUUUACACUUCUCGAGAGUAGUGACAGUCAAAGUUACUAAGCUAGAUAUUAUAAGUUAUUAGCGCGAAUCCAGCGGAGUAAACGACGAGAAAGGAAGAGAAAACAACGAUGGAUGAUGCAACUGAGAAGGGAGAGGGAACGACGAAAAGAUGCAGUAGAUCUCUCCUUUUCAAUCGAAAGGACAGAAACCGGAUGCUAUGGAGCUCACAUCGAAGAAUGAAAGUGGUGAUGUUACGUGUAUAAUUUAUUAGAGAUUAAUAUAGAGUUAUAGAUUAUAUGUUACUUAUAAUGGUCUCAAUUAGAAGGCGCCUAGUAAAGAAGAACAAGUUUUUUCCUUUGCUUUUGUACAUGACACCGUUGAGAUGUGACGAGUUAAUCAUCGCGUUUAAUCUACUACAACAAAAACGGUGUAUAGCGAUAUUUUUUAAUGUCGGUACAGAUCAAAAAAAGUGCUGCUGGCUAAAUUACCGACACUUUUACAAAGUGUUGCUAUAUGUGGGAUCACUAGGUAUAUAGUGACAGUUUAAAAAUGUUGGUAUAAUAUGAAAAAAGUGCUGCUAAUGUACAAACACUUAUUUAAGUAUUUAGCAACCGACGGAACUCUAUCUUGUUGGCUGCGGUGGCGGAGGAGGAGAGCGAAGGGUUCUUCGUCUAGGAUUUCAACGGAUUGAAUGAGAAGAGAAGGGAAGAUAGUGAUCGAUUUUUCUUCUUUUUUUUUUUUUAUUUUCUGUUUGUAAUCAGGUCGAACGGGCAGGGUGGGGUGGGUUGAGUAGAGUAAAAAAACUUUUAUUUUUUAUUGGAUUGGGCUUUAUAUUUAUGCCUUAGUAGAUUUUUUUAAAAUUUUUGCAUAAAUGAGACACUUACACAAAAGUGUCCCAAACAUGUGUCCUUAUAAUCUAAUUCUGUUGUCCCAAACAUGUGUCCCUAUAAUCUAAUUCUGUUAUAGUGAUCUAUGCCUUAUAUGGACCCAAUUAUGAUAUUGUGUUAUCACAAUUUCUGUAUGAUUGGUCAUGUUUGAAUGCCGGAAUGAAUUACUUAUUUCAUACAGAGAUUAUUAGUAUGAUUGUAAGAAAGAAGAAUUUUCACUUCUUUAAAAAUUCUGCUAUUUUUGAUUUAGUAAAAUAGCAUAUUUUAUCUACAUGAUAAUUUUUCUUAUUAGGAAAACAAACUUAUAAAUCCGAAUAUGAUAUCUCGUGAUAUCUCAUAUUCACAAUAAUUAAUUCCUACCCAAGCCACUAAUUCGAUCCUACUAUAUCAUUUAAACUAGUAGCGGAUCACUAAAUAAUCGACUCUGAUACCAUUUGUCGGAAAGUUGUGGGUAUAGCCCAGACACGCAUAAGCCCAAGAAUGUAACAUAUUUGAUGAAACUCAUUCGAUAGAAAACUUUUAUCUCACAGUAUAUAUAUAUCGAUCUUCUACUCUUUUAUUAGUCGUUUAAUGUGAGACUAUUUACAUUUGAAUUCUUAACAAUAAGCAUGCAUUUAAAUUUCAUGUUAGUAUUUGAAUUUGAGUAAGAGCUUCGCAAGAAAACGUGGCUAGCUGGUUCUUAGUCACACAAUUUGGUUUACAAAACUAUAUCAUUAAUGAGGUUGCAAGAGAGAGUUUAAUUAAUUAAUUAAUGAGUGAAUUGGUGAUUGUGAUAAUGUGAUUUAAUCAAUUAAUUUUAGGAUUAGGAUAAUUAAUGGCAUGUGAUGAUCACGUGGUGAUCAUAGGAAACAGGCGUGGCGUAAACGCCAAAAGAGUUGAGCUGUUUCAUGCAGGGGUCUAAUUAAUUACUAAUAAGGAUUCCUUGUAAUUUGUGAAACAAAACUAAUUAUUAAUUAAUUACUUAGUAUUUAGAGAUUACACCAAUCGAUAAAUUUGACUAUGGAGUGUCUUCGACUUCGUACUAUGCAUGAGCAUCUUAAGCUUUGUUUGAUUUUGCAGCCAAACUGUGUCACGUGAUUUUAUGGUCAAAAAAAUAUUUAUUUUUUAUAUUUAUAAAAAAAUCAAAUUCUUUAUAUAUAUAUAUAUAUAUAUAUAUAUAUACGGAUUUGGAUAAAAUUUUGGGUAUCCGUACCCAUUGACAUUGCUAUUCCUUAAUAUCUGUAGAGGGUUUAAUGAAAGUGGUUGUUUGGUUAUCGGGUUGAGCCGAGCCUCCAAAAUAAAAGUCCGAGAAUAUUUGGAUUGGACUCUAGCUAAUCAUUUAAUAGUUUGACUCCGUCAUCCCGGUCUUGAGAAUUUUUUCCGUGAGUCGACCCAACUUAACCUGAUUUGGUUCAGUCCUAUUGUGUUAGAUCGGAUUCGGGCCAAAAAUAGAUCCAAUAAACUUGGGCCGGAUCGGGCUUAACUAAGCAGGCCUCAAUUCGGGCCCGUGUGCGAUCCAUGCAUGUGAUCGAUGCUACCAUCUUGGUAUGUUCUAGUUAAUAAAUUAACUUGUUUGCGACACAACGCCAUCAUAUUUAUCUCCAAAAACUUAAACUGUGAGAUAAUGUCUCAAGAGACAUAAACUAUGAGACAACAUUGAAACACAGGCGCAAAUUAAUCGAGCGGAUGAUAUUUCUCUCAAUUAAGUAGAGAAUGUAGCUGACGAGGCUCAAACUCUGGAUCUCGUACUCUAACAUCUUUUGAAACUAUUGUUUAAUAUUUAGCUCAAAAGUUUUGGACUACAUAGUGUUUUGAUACUUCAUACUCAACAAAACUCAAAUGACUUGAAUUGAAAUAAAAAAAAAAAAAAAACUUUAGGGAUGGGAUCGAUUUGAAGCUUCUACCGCUCCACGCAUACUGUAGUUGAAAGGAAUUGGACACUGAAAAAAUUGUUAGUAUUUUUUCAAACAGUUCUACUUGUACAAUGCUUUUUCCAUCCCGCACUUUCAAGUUUCAAAUCAAGGUAUAAAUAUUUGGCACAUUUCUUAAGUUGAUGCAACUAAUUUGAUUAUCGAACAAAACGAGCGAACCAUGAUCAGGUUAGAAAAGUUUGGGUUUGGGUUCAAGUUGGGUUUUAGUCACUACUCACAAUCAAUUAAUGAUCACUUCAUUUAUACUUUACAAUGAGCAAUUGCAACUCAAUUUUUGUUUCUAAUUGUACAAAUUCAUCCUAACACAUAUUUGGGGGGAUCCAAUGAAAAAAAUGAAAUCCAAAUACUAUACAUGGUCUUUCACAAAAUUUCCUCAUGUGUUUUUUUUUUCCUCUAAAUCUAAUCUAUAUAUCGUUAUCUGACAACUUAAGCUUUUAGAAAAUAACAGUACAUCGUUUUGCAUAGUUUAACAGAAAGAUUGAAAUUUUUAGCUCGAUACCGAUAGAGAACAUGUUCAUGUUUGUGAUUGACAUGCCAAAGAGCUUUGUGUGUGUUGGAGAGAGAGAGAGAGAGAGAGAGAGAGAGAGAGAGAGAGAGAGAGAGAUUUGCUAGCCUCUCUUUCAAAUUGAACUUGCAAAUGUAGUUCAUUCAUGCAUUUGGUUCUCCUCUCACAAGCUCACACUCUCCAUGCUCAAUCAAAAUGCAUCUUCCAUUUCCUUUUCGAUCUGUUGCACCACGCCAUUUCGACUACUCUAUGUGUUGCACCCUUAUAUAGCUAGAGCUCUCUAUAUAUAGUUCGUAAACAUAUCGAUCCAAAUGAGACACCAGAAGAAGCAACAAGCAACAAGCAACAAGCAGUCGAUAAAAGAUAGUUCAAUCAUGAGAACCGCUUGCUUCGCUUUAGUGGCUCUUCUCUCGUUCGUGAUCCUUGUCAAUGCUUCUUCACUAGAGCAUGAGACCGACGUUCGUAUCCACACCAAACCGCAGAAAGGCCUAAAUGACUUGAGCAAGAGGGGCGGUGGUUUACGGACUAUCGAAAGCCAAGAGGCCAUGGAAGACAAGGAGAAUGUGCGUGAUGAUGAGACGAGGGUGCCUAUUGGCGGCGACAAAAGAGAUGCGCAAGUCAGGACGCAGAGGACCUGCAUUACGAAACAAGAGUGCCUGAAGAAGAAGGUGAUAUGCUCCAAGAAGUGCAUGAAUUCCGCGGAGCAAGGGCAUGAGAAAUGCAGCGUCAAGUGCGCCAAGUGUGUUCCCAACUGUUAAGAUGCAUGUCGAUCGAAAUCUCUACGAGAUGUUGCGAACCUAGGACUAGCUAGUUUUUAGCUUCUUUGGUUACUUCUAAACUUUGGUAGUUAAUUUACUGAGGAAAUAAAGAUAGUUGAUAUAGUUAUUUCUCUUUCAUUUUGUCGUCUUUCGGACUUGGUUUAUGUGUGUAACAAUUCCUCUUUUGUUAGGGGGAUUUGAUUGAAAUAAAGUUGGUUUGUUUUCUAAGUAAGAAAUGAUCGUAGUUUCAGCAAUUUUUCUUCUUUUUUUUUUUGUGAUCCUUUUAAUUGAAACAUAUAGUCUUUAAUGCUUAUUAGUGAUCUUAAUCAAGGAUUCACACUAAAACAUAUGAUCAAAACUAGGGUUGUCAAUCAGCCGGACAUGAGCAAGCUGCUAAGGCCAGUUCGUGUUCGACUUGUUUAAUAAGCAAGCUUGCUCAUUAAAAUAUUGAGCAAAAAAAUUCAGCUCGUGCUCGGUAUGUUUAUUAACAAGCUGAAUACGAGUUAGCUCAUGAACAACAAGUUAGAUUGUCAGCCUUGCUACUGGGUAAAGAAGUGGAGAAAAAUUAGAAAAUUACAAUGUUAAUCUAAUAAUUGAAAUUCAUAAAAUAUAGGUGGUCUCGUUACAUUUGGGUUGGCCUAAAAUCCAAAUAGUAGAAAUUUGUAAUAUAAAAUCUUAUCUAAUACCUAUUAGAAAUAUCAAAGCCUUAAUACUGUUAGAAACAUUCCAGUUCAUCUCUCUCUCUCUCUCUCUCUAUAUAUAUAUAUAUCAUCCUUUGACUACUCAUUCAUAAGUGUCAUUGAGCAAUCGAUAUAAUUUACUUUGCUCAUAAGUCAACACAAUAGAGAUAUAUAUAGGUCCUAAAAUUAAUUUCUCAAUGAUCAACAUGAAACAAAUCAAAUUUAGAAGUGUUUCCCGCAUUUUAUUUUAUUUUUCAAAAUUAUUUUUCCGCAUUUUAGCCAGUGUAAUUAAAGAUCCACAAACUGAUCUUCCUAUAUAGUUAUAGAACCCACGCAACUCAGGAAUUAACUCAAGCAAAUUUAAUGUCCUUCGUUAGGUGACAUCUCUCUCUCCUUCGCUCUUAAAUCUUUGCGUAAGGGACACGUAUUUGCUCGAUUUAAAAGUGCGCAGAGUGGUGAUAGAACAACAACCAUGGACUUACUUAGAUAGCAACUUAGAUCUACCAACAUGUCUAUGCAUGUUUCCAAAUACUAGCUAGAUGCAUCGACUACUAAAGAUUAAGUACUUCAUUAGUUAAACCUAAAUGAAAAUUUAUGUAAGAGCUUUAAGGCUUCUUUCAUGUUGGGUGUGUGUGAUCAACAUCAUCACAUGCAAUUCAUGAAGAUGCUAUACAUCCAAUAUGUGGUUCAUCUAGUGACACAAAAUUAGAAUACAAUGGACCAUUAAUUUCAUUCAAAAAAAAGAGAGAAUAAAACAAGAAUAGAAGGAGAAUAAAAAUCAGGCAAAUUUGUGUACAUAUCGUGUUACGAUUUCAUCUAAACUCGAUCCAUUUCCAUGCGUAAUAUCACGAUGCGCACGAGAGAAUUAAAAACGCCAUGCAUAUACAUAUAUAUAUCUACGUGUGUGAUCGGCGAUCUCCGAUAAGUUGAUUUCUAGUUGAAGCACUUGAUUGUUGAAAUGUACAUAUAUAAUUAAAUGGCUGAGGAGGUUGCAUUUGUAUUUUUAGGAGCAAAUUAAAUGGUCCCAAUUUUUAAAAUUUUUAGGUGAGAAAAUGGUUGGAGCUAACACUUUAUUUACCUGCACAAAUUGGACUACUUGCUGGAAAAAGACUCUUCCUCUUCUCAAUUGUUAGUACAUUUUAGGGCAUGAUCUGGAAGGUGUAAUAAAAAUAAAAAUUAUUCGAUUUGAGAUUUUUAAAUCAAAUUAAAACAUAACUCAAAUGAUUUGGCAAAAUUUUCAUUUAAAGAUAUUGGCGGAGAGAAACUAUAAUAUUUGCAUAUUAGAUGUGUUUUUUUGAAUCCAUGUUCUCGCAAUAUUGAGUCGCUUUUAUUGUAAUAAUACUGACACAUAAAACUGCUGACUCAUUAGCUAUAUUUUUUGUUAUUAUUCGAAAGUAUUUCAUUAAUAAUGAUAAUUUUAUAUGGCUUAGGUGAAGAUGAAUAUUCAUUGGGAUCUUUCAACUUUUAGGUGUUCUUUAUUUCUUUUCCUUAGAAGGUUAAAAUAAAAUUGUCAAAAAGGGAAGUGUAAAUUACUGAAAAAAGGUGGAGUAAUGUGCAAAAAGUUUCUGAUUCUCUUGGUUUCUUGCUGCUGCUUUUUUAUUUAAUAAAAGUUGUCAUAAUAGCGUUAUGGGUCGAAUUUAAUUCGAUCAACAAUAUUUUGAAUCUUUAAUAAAUUGUACGGAUCACAUCUCUUCCUUUAAAAAAAAAAAAAUUUAAUAAUUUGAACUCCCCAAUUAAUUUGUUGUUUAAUUUGAAAGUUGCUACAUUAUGUUCUUAAAUUUGCGCGAAACUUCAUGAAUUUUCUCACAUUUAACACCACGUUGGCUUAGGAAUUUAGCUUGUAAAAAAUUUAUCUUCAGGGAUCUACUUCUCAAUAACUUAUAGCUUGAGGGCCUCCGUGCGAUUUUUUCCUAUUUGUACUCAUCUCUUUGGUGUUUGGCUCAUCCAAAAAGCGUGAAAAAAAAAAGUUUCCAAGAAAAAUAUUUCCAUGAAAAGUUAUUUUUCCAAUUUUUUUCGUCGGUUUUAUGAAAUUCUUUUUCCCAUAUUUUAUAGAAAACCAGCGUUUUCUUUUUCCUUAAGAAAUUCGGAAAAUAAAAAUAUUAUUUUAUCAUAAAAUAUGGCAAAAAGAUUUUUAGAAAUACUUACUUUUCUUCAAACCAACUGGGUAAGAAACUGAAAAAGGAGUUUUUAAUGAAUUUUUUUUCAUACUUUUUUGAGGAAUCGUAGAGAGCUACCAAAAAAUUGAACCUUAAACUUUUAUAUAUAUAUAUAUAUAUAUAUAUAUAUAUAGAAUUAGGCUACUAUACUAUCUAUAGUACCGAGCUUUGGUACUAUAGUGUUUGUUUUCGAUCUUAGGGCAUUCAAAUCAACGAUCCACACCGUUAAAUAUAAUCUAGGGUAUAUGAAUUUCUUAGGAAUAAAAUUUUAGUUUUUUUCGAUAUCGUUUACUUAGUAAAUAAAUUAUAUCAAAAUGGACGGUGGAGAUUGAAUAAUCUUCAAAAUUUGAGCAUAGGACUUUUAAAUUCAAGAUCAAGAAUGUUAACCUUAAUCUAUAUAGUUUAAAGUAUUUUCUAUCAAAAUUUGAAGAAAUUUAGAUUCUUCUACACUGUUAAACUCCAAACUCGUCAUAAUAGCCAUUGAAAAUUGACAAUUUUGAAAUAGUUUGAUCAUAAAGUAAACUAUGUCGAAAAAAUAUAAAUUUUUAUUUCUAGAAACUUUAAAUACCCUAGAUCAGUUUUAACGGUGUGGAUCGUUGAUUUGAACGCCCUAAGAUCGAAAACCAACACUAUAGUACCGAAGCUCGGUACUAUAGAUAGUAUAGUAGCCUAGCUAUAUAUAUAUAUAUAUAUCAAAUUUUUUAAUGUUGGUGUGGUUACAAUAUUUUUUGUUUGGAUAAAUUGAACUAUUGUUCUGAACUUUCACUUAUAUUUUGUUUUAGUGCUCAUACUUUUAUAUUGGAUAUAUAUUUGUUUUCACUGAGCGCAAUCCGUAAAUCUAUGCACCACAAAUCCAUCGAUACUCAAUCUCAUAUAUUCGACCAAACUAGGGAGAUCAACGAGCCAUAUGAGUGAGUUGAGGUCAACACGUGUGUUAAGUUCGUUUAAUAAAUACUGAACACGAAUUAGCUCAUUAAAAUAUCGAGCUGAAAAUUUCAGCUCAUGUUCUGCUUGUUUAUUAACGAGCUGAACACGAGCUGGCUCGUGAACACUUAAGUUAUAUCGUCAGCCCUACUAGUGAGUGAAAAGUUGAAAGGAAAUUAAAAAUUAGAAUCUUAAUCUAAUAAUUAAAAUUCACAAAAUAUAUGCCUCUUUACAUUUUGUGUUGGCCUAAAAUUCAAAUAAUAGUACUGAUCUAAAGGCUAGUAGUGAUUAAGAGGAUUUAUUCGAAGGUGAAAAAGUUCGAAGCAAAAAAUGGCUAAUAUUUCUAGAAGCAUUCGAGCUCAGCCCUAUUUAUAUAUAUUUGAGUUAUAUCGAGUCAAACACGAGCGAGCUGAAAACUUUAGCUCAAUAUGUUAGGCUCGUUAAGAUUUCAAUAUGAAAAAUUUAGCUCGUCCUCGACUCAUUUAGCAAAUGUAGAUCAAGCUCAUUUAGAGGCGAAUAAGAGUUGGCUCACGAAAAGCGAGCUGGAUUGUUAGCCCUAGAUCAAAUCAUCUAAUUCUAAGUAAAAAUCCCUUAAGAUGUUCCCAAACCUACUAGAGUUUAAUUACUAAUGAAAAUUGGAGUAUAGGAAGAAAUUUUGGUAAUUUUAGGAUAAAUUUAAAAAUUUUAAAUAGUAGUUAGGGGUAAAUGAGCAAACAUCCCCUAUUUUUUCUAUAAUAGUAAAUUAUAAUAGGAAAUAAAACAAAACACUUGUCACAAUUAAUUGUGGGAAUGGUGGUGCAAUUUAUCCCAUUUUCCUUUUCUUAGAGAAACAUGGUGGGAUUUUUACUUACAAAAUGAAAAAUCUUGUCUCUAUUCUUAGGGAAAGGAAUAAUGCCCAUUUCCUACAAAACCAAUAAAAGCAAAUGACAUAGCAUAAACUCAACAAUCUACAUUUGAUCUAAUUAUUGCAAUAAUGGAAAUAAUGAGACAUGAGUUGUAGAAUCUAAUUUCCUAACCAAUUUGAUCCUUUUAUUAACUAUCCAAGUUAAUUUAAAAGGGCAAAAGGAACAAAAGAAAAAAGAAGGAAUAGUUAAUUGGUUUUAGAGAUAUUAUCCACAUAGUUUAAUCAUAUUUAGCACUAAUUAAAAUCCAAUUUGUUUCCCUACUCUUUUAUCCCCACAUCUCUUUUAUAGAAACCAAUUAACUAUUCCUUCUUUUUUCUUUUGUUCCUUUUGCAUGCAUGGUUCCAAAACUCUUCUUUGUUUCCAUGUUAUAACACACAAAAUCAACAACUUAGAAUACAUAAAAGAAGAGUGCAUAUACAAGUGAGAGGAGAUCAUGAAUAGUAGUGGUUCAACAAAAGAGGUGGUAAUGGGGGAGGAGAUAGAGUGUGGUAAUAGUAGUAGCAGUGGUGGUGCACCAAGGAGUGGAGUUGUGGUAGGAGGGUUGAGUCCAUUGAGUGAGACACUAUGGAGGGAAAGGUCUAGCAUGGGGCUCGUCGGCGACGGCGACGUCUCCGCGAGGCUAACAUGGAAGGACUUGACGGUGAUCGUCACGCUGAGGAGCGGCGACGCGCAGCGAGUGCUCGACGGGCUCACCGGGUACGCCGAGCCCGGGACUCUCACCGCGCUCAUGGGCCCGUCCGGGUCGGGGAAGUCGACGCUCCUCGACGCGCUCUCCGGUCGCCUCGCGACCAACGCCUUCUUGUCGGGGACCGUCCUGAUCAACGGGAGGAGGACCAAGCUUUCCUUCGGGACCGCGGUGAUGCACGCAUGCAUCUCCUCUACUUCUUUUUCAUGCUCGUAGUGAAGUCGGUUACUUACACUAUUUUGAACUCUAUGAUGUUUGAAUUUUGGCGCCAAAAGGCGUACGUGACGCAAGACGAUAACUUGAUCGGGACUCUGACGGUGAGGGAGACGAUAUCGUACUCCGCGCAGCUCCGGCUGCCCGACAAGAUGGCGCGGGAGGAGAAGCGCGCGCUCGUGGAAGGCACGAUCAGCGAAAUGGGGCUGCAGGACUGCGCGGAUACGGUGAUCGGGAACUGGCACCUGCGGGGCAUCAGCGGUGGCGAGAAGAGAAGAGUUAGCAUUGCUUUAGAGAUCCUCAUGAGGCCUAGAUUGCUCUUCUUGGAUGAGCCGACAAGCGGUCUCGAUAGGUAAACAAUCGAAAACCCUCCUGUAAAUACCGCGUUUCGCACUUUUUCCCUUUCAGUUACCGAUAUGUACGAAAAUUUUAACUUUGAUAUAUUUUCUUGCUUCAAUCUUGAGUUUUAGCUUACUCAAAUUGUUUGAGAAUCAAACUUACAUCAAGGUAGUAAGAUUACACACUUUGUAACAAAGUUUUAACCUUAAAUUUUUUCUUUUGGUUAUUCAUGUUAGUGCUUCUUCAUUUGAGCUUCAAAAAUUGUCAAAAUGAAAUCAAGGAGAUUAUUUUUCAGUGCUUCAGCAUUCUUUGUGAUACAAACUCUGCGGAGUCUGGCGCGAGACGGUCGGACGGUGAUCGCGUCGAUUCAUCAACCGAGUAGUGAAGUUUUCGAGCUCUUCGAUUAUCUUUACCUCCUUUCGGGCGGCAAAACUGUCUAUUUCGGGAAAGCAUCCGAAGCACAUGAGGUAAAACGAUCGAGAGGUUGAAAAUCUCGAAACCCCCUAUAAUUUCAUCUAUUGGAACACCAACCAAGUAGUUUGAGAGAAUCACACACAUAUAUAUAGUACAAAACUUUUUAAGGGGCAAUGUGAAAAUUGCAAAUUGACAGGGGGUUUUCUGCAAUUUAACCAAUAUGUUCAAAUUUUUUUUUUGUUCUAAUAUUUCAACAACCUAGUUAGAUCACUAUUAACGUUCUUAAUUCGUCGAUUUCAAGUUCUUCGCGCAAGCCGGCUUGCCCUGCCCGCCUCGGAGGAACCCGUCGGACCAUUUUCUCAAGUGCGUCAAUACUGAUUUCGACAAGGUGAAGAGCACUCUGAAAGGCUCAAUAAAAAUGAGAGUAAGAACUUAAUUCUGAACUCAAAUCUCAGAAUCUUAAGCGGCGAUAGCAAUACAUAGUUACUAAGCAGCAUUUUUCUUUUCUGUUAAAGUUUGCAAGAGCCGACGAUCCACUGGAAAAGAUGACAUCUGCAGAAGCAAUUCAAAGGCUAGUCGCGUAUUACAGCCGCUCUAAAUACGGCCACACAGCUCGCCAAAAAGUCGAGGAGAUCUCGAGAGUCGUAUGAAUACACGAAUUAUAGUUCUUGCUACAUUUAGUUACAAAUUAUAGCUCUUUAAGUUACGUCGUCGUCAGAGUUUCAACUGUAGCAGUGAUAUUUGUUGCAGAAGGGAAAUGUAUUGGAUUCAGGAGGGAGUCAGGCCAGUUUCUGCAUGCAGGCCUUCACUCUGACGCGCCGCUCGUUCGUGAACAUGUCGAGGGACUUCGGUUACUAUUGGCUGAGGCUCGUGAUCUAUAUCAUUGUUACGAUUUGUAUCGGAACCAUCUACUUCAAAGUAGGGACCGGAUUCAGCGCGAUUCUGGUAUCAGCAUCCAAACAAUGCAUUCCACUUACAAGAAUCAUGUUUCAGUUACUGAUUUCAGCAAACACUUAAAUUUCUCUCAGUCCAGAGGAUCCUGCACUUCCUUCGUCCUCGGCUUCGUGACCUUCAUGUCGAUCGGAGGCUUCCCGUCAUUCGUAGAAGAUAUGAAGGUAAUCACACACCCACACACACACAUUUUCAUUCAUUUCUCCUGCGAAAAACUGCUUUCGAAUUCUGAAAACAGCCUCGAAACUUUUGCUGAAAAAUUUCUGACAGGUUUUCCAGAGAGAGCGGCUCAACGGGCACUACGGAGUCCUCGCGUUCGUCAUCGGGAACACGUUCUCCGCGAUGCCGUUCCUGCUCCUCAUAUCCGUUUUGUCGGGCACGGUUUGCUACUUCAUGGUGCGCCUCCACCCCGGAUUCGUGCAUUACUUGUUCUUCGUUCUGUGCCUCUAUUCGAGCAUUACGGUUGUCGAGAGCCUAAUGAUGGCGAUCGCGAGCGUAAUCCCGAAUUUCCUCAUGGGGAUCAUAAUUGGAGCAGGCAUUCAGGUAUGUGCCAAUUUUUCGUUUUUCGACAAACACUACAUUAUAUGAUCAUGAGAUUGAUUACAUUAAAGCAGUGAAAUAAUGUUCUUCACUUGGUCAAAUUCAGAAGUAAAUUUGCUGAAACAAUUGUUAAAACAAGUUCAGCAGGAUUGAAUUAACUCUUUUUCAAUUUGAAUUAAUUUUGAAUUUGAAUUGAUUUGAGCAGGGAAUUUUCAUGUUGGUCUCUGGUUUCUUUAGGCGCCCAAAUGAUAUUCCAAAGCCUAUUUGGAGAUACCCAGUUUCAUACAUGAGCUUCCACUAUUGGGCCCAAGAGGUAUUAAUUAAUUAAUUAAUCGAGGCCGAUUUUGCAAAUAAGCCCCUCUAUAAGAAAUGAAUUAGUAACCGGUCCUGCUAUGUGACAGGGCCAGUACCAAAAUGACUUAAAAGGACUAAUUUUCGACAACCAAACCCCGGACCAACCGAAGAUCUCCGGAGAAUACGUACUCCAAAAGUUCUACCAAAUCGACACCGGUCGGUCGAAGUGGAUCGACCUCUCGGUUCUGUUUUGCAUGAUCAUCGCCUACCGACUUUUAUUCUUCGUCAUGAUACGAAUAAACGAGGAUGUGACUCCGUUCGUACGAGGGUACAUCGCGAAGAGGAGGCUGCAGCGGAAAAUCAGCAGAAACCAGCUCAGUGUAGCCUCUCCGGAGCUUGUCAAUAGGGUUCCUUCACUCAGAGUUGUUGUCGCGGAUCCCGCAUCGACGUCUUUCGAAGUAGUGGAUUUAAAUACUUAAUUUUAUGAGGGAUUGUUAUGUAAAAAAGCUUGUGCUUGUGUAACAUGUACUUAUGCCAAAAUUAUAAUGCACUAAAAAAGAGUGUAGUUUAAUAAGUUUUAUAAGUGGUUUCAAUGGUAGUAAAUUGCAUAGUUUGUGUAAAAUGAAAAUAUAAUUAAUUUAUAUAUAUAUAUAUACAUAUAUACAUAUAUAUAUAUAUAUAUAUAUAUAUAUAUAUAUAUUGAGAGAGAGAGAGAGAGAGGGGGGGGGUAGGGUUACUAUAUAUACUCUUAUGAGUAUAAAAUUUUUCGUACUUAUAAAUUAUUUUUUAUGAUGAAACUUCCAAAUCGGUGAUCCAACAGUUAGAAUAUUUUAAACUUCGAUCUAGAAAAUAAAUUUCGUAAUUAUUCGAAAUUAUACUAAAGUCCAAAAAGCUUGAUGGUAAAUAUUAUUCAUACACAAUAAAUAAUAUCUUAGAUGAGUUUUAUAUAAAUAUUCAGCUAAUUUCGGCUCAUGUUUGGCCUGUUUAUUAAAUAAGCGAUCAUUUAUUUCGAGCCAAAUAUGAGCUAGAACACGAGUAAGCCGAUCCCAGUUUGUCUUCAACUCAUUUAUUAAAAUGACCUAAGUGGGCAUAUGGGAUGAACCUAUAAAGAAGCAAAAAAAGAAAAAAAAAAAAAGUGUUAAUGCUUCAUUUAUUUGUACCAAUCCCACCCACACAUACAAAUUAUAGCUACACUGGUACAUUAAUUUGGUAGGCCAUAAUUAUUCAUUUAUUGCAAGUUGGUACAUUAAAGAUUGAAUAAUUAAUUAUUUUCAACUGAGUCAUAAUAAUAUGUUUGGUUGCAACAGUAUUAAUGUUUGGUACUUACCUUGCAAUUUGUCAGGAACUUAGCGACUUUUCAGUGCGGUCAAGUCUUGGCUCAACUUCACUAAGUGAGCAGCCAAAGGGGAACCAAAACGAACAGCUUUUCAUGAGAGAUGAAAGGGCAUGUAACUGCUGCAAUUAAUGCCUCCAUAACUGCUAGCGGAAACUCAAGGGACAUGGACAACCUUGGGAUCAUCUUACAAUCAUGAGACAUUUAUGAGGGCUCAUUACUUUGUGAUAGUAGAUGAGUUAAUGUGUGCUUUAAUUUGUCUUUAGUGGUGAAUUAGUGUAGGCUAGAUUCAAUAUAUCUAAGAGCCUAUAAAUGAUGGGGAUGGCUAUGGCCAAAGUAAGGAAGAGAGGUGAAAACACAAGAGGAGUUGUGUAUUGUAAUUCUAUUUUUCUAGGUACGUAGUGAAGUACUUAGGUCUUUUGAAAAUCUCUGCCUCUCUCUCUUAUUUCCGUUAUGUAUAGUUAGUCGUAGGGCAUGUAGAUCCAGAAUAGCAAUAAGAAGUUAGAUUUGCCCAUUUUCGAGCUGGAACGCGGGCCGCACGGGCUUUGCGAAUAAUAACGCUAAGGCCGUGACAAAGUGCUGCUCAACAUAGAAAUAUGCAUGUAAUGCAUUCGUUGAGCUAAUUAUGAAGGGUGUAAAUGAGAUAUUUGUGGCCCUCAAACUUUUCUCAAAUUUUCACUUUGGUCCUUAAUUUUUUUUUAAAUUAAAUUGGUUUUAUUUGAGAGGGAAAGGUAGCUUCAUUCAUUUUUUUUUUUUUUUUUUUUAAAUACUAGGCUUCAAACUUAAGACUUAGAAUACCAAAUGUCACGUAGGUAUGAUGAGUCAUUUUAAUUAAAUUAUUUGUAACAGAAAUCUAUAUAAUAUACAAAGAAAUUGUUGGUUCCUUAUAAAAUCAAUCUUGUCAUGGAAUAAUUUCUUUCUAACUUUAUGAGCUAUUUAAUGAAAAGAAUUUGUUGGUAACAACUAAUGAGCAUUAGGAAUAGAGGUGUAUAAUAUGGACCGUGCUGGACUGGCACUGGCACGAUCUAGAUUUUUCGAGCCAAAACGAGCUACAAGAUGUCCCCGCCUGGCCCGAAUUGGAUUAAAAUAAGUUUUAAAUGACUUUUUGAAAUAUUCUUAAAAUUUGAAUAGUUUAAAUUAAUUUUUUAAAAAAUAAAUGAAAAUAUAAAUAUCUAUUAAAAAAAGAGAAAAAGAAAAGAUCCGGCCCGAUACUAAGGUCCAAUCUUAAAUGGACUGGGCCUUACCGGGCAUCACCCGGCCUUCUGGCCCAACACGGCCCGCCCGGCCCGUUUGGCAUCCCUAAUUAGGAACCAAAUUAUAGAGAUUUAAAAAUUAGGGUCAGUAUCAAAAAUAAAUAAAUAAAAGUAGGGGACAAUGAUGCAAUUAAUGCAAUGAGAUUGUGUCAUGGCUUGGUUGGAGAAGGGAGAAGUGGUUUAGUGGUGGAUAGCUUGUUCUCAAAUAAAAUAAUAUAAUUAUUUAUCUCGAAAAGCUUAAUCUGCUAGAGAAUCGAAUUAUUAAUUAAACAUAAAAAUUAUGGAUAAUAUUUAAAUAUAUAUAUAUAUAUCUUAUUUAUUUCUGGAUGACCAAAAUAUUCUUAUUGAUUUUAAAAAAUUUCUUUGAACAUUCUCUUUUCCUUUAUAGGGUUUAUUAAUAGAAUUUAAUUUUAGAAGGAUAUUUUGGGUAUUGAAAAAGUAAAUUUUAAAACUUUCAAUAACAAUAAGAAAUAUAUAAACAAAAGUAAGGUUUUGGAGAACGCCGAUUGUUUUAUAGUAUUAAACAUAAAGUUUAAAAAUUUAAGUUAGUAGAGAACUGUAUUCAGUUCUAAAACUGUUCUGUUUAUUUUCUUAUUUUUGUUGAUGAUAUUUUUGAAACUUGCUAUCGUUGGAUUGUUGUCUUAAUCGUGAAUCCAAUGCCAUCACUUGUCAUAAUAAAAAAAAUGUGCAGAACUUUUCUAAACUAUAAACUAUUUUGAUUCGACUAUCCUACUUUUUAAAAUUUUGAUUUCAAUAGUUAAUCCUUUAAUUUGUUUGAUCUAAGUUUUUUGAUGGCUCUUCCGAUACAAAAUUUAAGCUAAUAGCUUAUUUUGAUAAAUAUCAUUACAUGCAUUGUAUAAGAUAUAAACGCUAAUUAAGUUUAUAAUGAUAAAUGAUAAAUUCAAAUUUUAAAAUUAAAAUAUUAUUAACUGGCUCAAAUCAAAUAAAUUAAAUGAUUAGAUAGUAAAAUUAAAAUUGAUAAAAAUUAGAUAGUCAAAUUAAAAUGAGUGACAGUUAAGACGAGUGACACAAGCUUACUACAAAAUGUUGUAAAGCUCGCACUUUCCAUUUUAGAAUUUACAAAAAUUCAAAUAUUUUUGAGUUAAAAAAAAUUAAUAUAAUAAGUAGGAAAUAAUGGCCUUUGGAAGAAGAGGUUGUAUGACGAACUUUCCACUUUGGGGUGUAUCCGUGGCAUUGCUAAAAAAAUAUUUUGAAAAAUACAACGAAUACAAAAGAGGAUUUUAAAGGCUGUUUAAUUGGUUUGCUGAGUUAUAAAUACAGUAUAAUUGAAGAUGUAUGUAGUUGAAAAUACAGUAAUUAUAAUUACAUAUAUCUUAUUUAGUUGAAUGUAAUAGAAAAUACCGUGGCUAUAUAUAUUUUUUGAUUGCGCGCGAUUGAAAGGUAUAUUUAAAAUUUCUAUCAUUUUAUAUAUGGGGUGAUUGAGAUUAUCCCCUAUAUUGGAAAUGAUCUAUUUAAAAAGUUAUUAGGAGAUAAGCUUAUUUUUGUUUAAAAUUACUUUUUUCAAGUAAUAUAGUUGGAACCGCGACCAAUCUGCGCGUAGUUCCAUCUGUUGCAGUUGAGCAUUCUCGUACAGUGGCAACUACAGCAGUUGAAUUCAAAUUCAUCAAAACAAACGUCGAAUUUGAAUCUGCAUACAGUUAUAAAUACAGCACAAUUGUAACUACGUACAACCAAAUAAUCCAUUAGUGAUGCCUCAGUUUGAAAUAUUAAUUAUUUUUUCUACAAAUCAUGCAUCUCAUUCAAUUGGAGAGCGCCACGUGGGGAUGAAAAAGACCAAUAUAUCAUAUAUUUGACAAAAUUUUAUUCUCUCCCCUUCAUUAACUUUUCGCUAAAUUAUAUACAAAAAAUUUCAGAUACCUCACAUAUAGCUUAUCGAAUAUUAACUUUAGUACCCUUUAGUUUUAACUUUGUCAUUAGUUUAACGAAAAAAAUUAGCGGAAGGAAUAAUAAAAAAAUAAAAAUAAAAUCAUAAGGCACGAAAGUGAUACACUUUAAGUCAGAGAGUACUAAAGAGAAAAAGUGUGAAACUACAGGGUGGUAUUUGAAGUUUUUCCUAAAUUUUAUAGUUAUACUCCAUCAAAACAAAUUAGCAUGCAAUUGGGAUUUUUUUUUUUCCCUUGUUACAUAGAGGGUAAUUUCACCAGCCUAAUAUAUAAAAUAAUAAAAAUUCAUAAAUGCAUUUUUCAACCACAUGUAAUAAAAUAAAAUAUUUAUAAUUACAGCAGUUAUUACUACAUUUUCAACUAAAUAAGACGCAUGUAAUUAUACUUAUUGUAUUUUCAAUUAUCUAGAAACCAAAUCGACGAUCGGCACCGUUGUCACCUAUUUGUUUUGAAUAAUGAAGUCUCUAAAUCGACGAUCGGCAGCGUUAAAUACGAUCUAUAAGUAUCUAGAAACCAAAUUUUAUGUUUUUCCGAUAUUGUUUUCUUGUCCAUCAAGUGGACACAAAAAUAUACGGUUAAAAAUGAAUAUCCUUUAAAAAGUGAUAAUAGGAAUCUUGUAAUCAAUAUCAAAAGUAUAGAUCUCGCUUUAAAUAGUUUAAAAAAUUUUCUAACCAAAAUUCAAUUGAUUUGGAUAUCUUUAUACCGUUAAACAAGAAGCGCUUCAUCGUGACCAUUAAAAUUAUAAAUUUUUAUUUUUAUUAUUAAGUCAAUGAUAUUGAAAAAUUUUAAAAUUUGAUUUACAGAUACUUCUAUAGAUCAUAUUCAACAGUGUCGAUCGUCAAUUUGGGGACUCUAUCAUCGACAAUAAAUAGUUGGUAAUGGAGCCCGUUUGCUACUUAUUUGUAUUCCGGCUCAACUCUUUAUAUUAGUAGGUAACAAAACUUUUGAGAAAUAAAUAUAAUAAUUACUUAAACUUUUUAUAAAUAAAUAAAUUUGGAGUUGGUGGAACAUAUAUAAGAGUACAAUAUUAAUCCUAAGUUGUCAAUUGAUGGCGUGGCAAUGUUCAAUACAUAACGUGGCAAAUAAUUUCAUUGUCAAAUGAUUUUCUUAUAUUGCAAGUGGUGACAUGUUUGAAAAAGAGUUGUGACAACAAAGUUAAUUAAAUAAUAGGGUUAAUUUCAUAUAGGUUUAAGUAAACAUAGUAAAUUAUAAAUAUAUUUCUAUAAAGUUUAAUUUUUAUAUAUUGUUUUUAUAGAAAUCCUGAUAUUUUCAAAUAUAUCCCUACCGUUAAAAUCUGUUCGAAAAAAAUAGUUAACUAUAGGUAAAAUAAUUAACCCUAGUUAGUUAAUGAGGUGAAUUGACCGUUUUAUUCUUUUUUAAUUAACAGUGAGGAUAUAUUUGUGAUGACAAAAAAGUCAUUUUCCUUAUAAAAUAAAUAGUGCUUUAACAGUAACAAAUCAGAACGACAUAUUUGAAAAUAUUAGCAUUUUUAUAGAAAUAACAUAUAAAAGUUGAACUUUGUAAGAAUAUAUUUGUAAUUCACUAUGUUUGCAGAGACCUGCAUGAAAUUAAUUAUUCUUUGGCUAAAAUACAAAAAAUUUCUUUGCAAAUACUCGUUUUUUUUCAAAAUUUCAACUUGCUGCAUUUAGAUCCUCCGCAUCAGAAUCGUGUCACUGUUCCAUCUAUUUUUCUUAAUAUAGUUUACGGUAAAAUUAACCUAAAAUGUGACAUUAAUGUAUUAAAAAUUAAUUUUUUAGAACAAAUAAGAGUACUUUGGUCAUGUUGCCUCUUUUUUUUUAUCAAUGCCAUAACUUUCUAAAAAUAUUUUUAAAUUGUAAUAAUAAAAUAUAGAUUUUUUAAAGUAAAAGAGAAUAAAUAAAAUAAUAAAUAUUUAUAGAAAUUUUUUUUAUAAUUUAGCCUUAUUUUUUUAUGAUAUAGCGUCUCUUUUACUUCAUCAUUUUGUAGCUUGCGAUAUGUCUUUUGGAUAAUAAGGUGUUAUAAUUUACCAAUUAUGGAAUAAUAAUAUGCUAUAAUUUCUUAUUUAAAGAGAAUUUUCGUCAUAUAAAAAAGUGAAGGCGUGGACGAUAAAUCGCCUAAAAUUAUUGCAUACAAAGUUUUUAUUCAGCAGGUAAAAAAAAAAAAACUUAAAAGUAACUUUUUUCUUUUGUUUUUUUAAUUAUUUUGCAAAAACUAUCUAAGCUAAAUUUUCAUAACACUAAAGCUCCAUUUAGAAUUAUUGAUAGAAAAAUAUAUUGAUUUUUUCUUACGUAAUAUAUCUUAAUGAGUCAGUUACGAUAUAUUUUUUCAUUCUCGAUCAUAAACAGCCCUAUGUAUCCAAUUUUAUCAAAUCUAUAAUUAAGAAGUAUAAAAAUUAAAUAACAAGUAUAUCAAAUAAGACAUAAGUUUUUUAUUUUAUUUUAUAUUUUUUGUGAUCCCCCACUUUCAUAGCACCCAACGGUGCACUAAUAAAAAGGGGGUAUAAUUGCACCACUGACCCUAAUCUUUAACUUUUUUUUUUUUUUUUAAUUUGGAUUCUAACUUGUGGGUUUUUUUUGGCUAUUACGUAUCAUCUACGUGUCCACACAAUUGGCCAUCAAUCCACUUCAAACUACCUACUCCCAAAAAAAAAAAAAAAAAAAAAAAUCUCCUAUUGAUCUUAAUCCAUAAUUUUUAUUAGAAACAAGGGUUAAUUUUAUAAAGAUCCCUAUAAAUAUAAUAAAUUACAAGUAUAUAAAUAUAGUGACGUUAUUUUUAAUGUUGGUGCAGGUCAAAAAAAUAUACUGAUGGUUAAAUUAUCAACACUUUUUAAAAGUAUUGUUAUAUAUGAGGUUGAUAUAUAUGGGACCGUUUUGAUGUUUAAUACCUACUUCUCCAGCAACCUAUGGCGGACGGACACGUAGUGAUUGUAGCCCUCUACAAUCCCUGCGAGAUCCUCGCGAUCGAACUCUAGUCGCCUGAACUCUAUUUCGUUGGCGGCGGCGGCGGCAGAGGAGGAGAAGGAGAGAUGGUGAUCGAUUUUUUUUUUUUUUAAUUUGUAAUCGAGCCAAGUGGGCUGGAUGUGAUUAGUUGAAUAGACGAACCUUUUAUUUUUUAUUGGAUUAAGCUUUAUAUUUAGGGCUUCGUAAUUUUUUUUAAAAUUUUUUGUAUAAAUUAAACACUUACAUAAAAAUGUUCCAAAAAUAAGUUUCUACAAUCUAAUUCUAUUGUAGUGAAUAAAAAUAUUUUUUGCUGAAAAUAAAAUAUAAAUUUAAUCACCCAAAUUAAAAAAAUAAUAUAUUUUUUAUAAAAAAUAUAAAACCGCCGAUUUUUUUUUUUUUUUAUACAAAUUAGCUUUCUUAUUUUUCACCUUACACAACAACAAGAACCCCCUUUUCUGUUCCUGCACCUCUCAUCCACCAUGCCAGUUUUCGUCCCCGUCCUCGUCCUCGCCCUCGACCUCAUCGCUUUCGUGCUCGCGAUCGUGGCCGAGCACCGGCGCAGCGCCGCGACGGUGGUGACCAACGCGAAACGGCGCUACACGUACUGCGCCUACGGCUCCGACGUCGCGACGGCGUACGGCGUCGCCGCGCUGCUGCUUCUCGCCGCGAGCCAGGCGGCCGUCAUGACCGCCACGCGGUGCUUCUGCUGCGGCAGCCCGCUCCGGCCCGGCAAAGCCCGCGCCUUCGCCGGAAUCUGCUUCCUUGCAUGCUGGUAAAUUAAAAAUUACUUACACACCUCUAGAGAUAUAUUUACGCGUGUAUAUACCUACAUAUAUUUGAUUUAAAUGAAGCGCGCACUAACAAAUUACUUAUUUAUUUUUUACAGUAUUAUUUAUAAAAUAAAUGUAACAAAUAUAAUUUUGCUGAAUUUGGUGUACUAAAUAAUCUAUUUUUUUGACAAAGUACUUUUUUUUUUUUCUCAUUCGUAGCCAAUAUGCUGAAUUUUACUAUUUAAGAUACUAUUUUUUUUUAACAACUAUUACAAAUUAAUAAGCUUUUCAUAUUUAAUAAGAGUUAUUAAUUUGGCCUAGUGUGAGACUUUGGUUCUUCGGUUUUUCGUACUAAUCUGAAGAAAAAUAAUUUUCCGUGCCUUUGAUUUAUAGAAAAGUUAUAUUUUCGAAAAAAAAUACUUUUUUCAGAGAAACUAUUAUUUUCAUUUUUCAAAUUUUUUUCUCUAAAAAUAAAAAUUGUGAAAAUAAUAUUUUUCAUAAAAAGGAUAUUUUUUUGUAAAAUAGUUUUUCAUACUCUCCAGAAAAUCUAAACACCUCUUUGUUAAGUAUAGAUUUUUUUUUUUUUUUUUUUGUUAUUAAGGUUACGUUACGUUUUUUUUCCUCUUUUCGGGCUUAAGAUAGUUUACUACUUGCUUCAUUUACGAUAAUUUAUAUUCCUGAAGAAUAAGGCCAGAGAGAGAGAGAGAGAGAGCGUGAAAAAAUAAAAAUCUUUUUUAAGCUUUUUUAGUUUUUAGAUAUUUUGAAAUAUUCUGUUAUUUCUCGCUAGCGAUGCAAAGUAAGCCGCCAAUCACAUCAACCGCAGAAUCCCUCAAUAGUGGUUGUGGUUGGGUGUUGAAGAAUUGAUCCUACAUACAUUUUUCUUUGAGAUAAUUACCUAUAUGCCCCUCAAAAUAUCGAGAAUAUCUCAUUUACUCCUAUUUUAUUUUCUUUCCAAUAUACCUUUUAUAUGUUUCUCUGUUAUUUCAAAAUACUUUUGCAGUUACCAUCUGUUAAAUUAACUUAAGUUAAAUGUGAGUUAAAUAUUUACCAGAAUUAAAAAAAAUUAAAAUACCUCGUUUGCCCUUAAUUUAAGGGCAAAUAAGAAAUGUUAGUGAUGGUAGAAUGAUAUAUUUGAGUAAAAUCAAAAAUCAAAAUACUUUUUGUGUCCCUAACUUAAGAGCAAAUAAAAAAAGUCCAUGAUGAUAGAAAAGCAUAUUUGAAGGGUAAAAUAGUAAUUUUAUAGAGGUAACAGUUGUUGCUAAUAGUUCAUUAAUAGAAUUUAAUUCUAUGAAUAUAUUUAAAAUAGGUUGGAAUGUAAAAAAGGUAUUUCAAUAUUAACCUUUUAAGAGGGGUAAAUAAAAAGAUCAGAAACUUUUCAGAAUUAUAUAAGCAAUUAUCUUUUUUUUUUUAGAUUAAAAAAAUACAAAACUUAUAUGAACUACUAAUUAUUUUGGUUCAACAAAUUAAUAUGAAAGAAGUAUAAAAUAUUUUGUUAUUUUUUAAUGUGUUUUUUUUUUAAAUUUGGAAUCUAAUUUACAAUAUUAAAAUUCGGAACCACAUAAUAUUUCAAAUAGGAAAUCACAUGAACGGUAUAUAUAUAUAUAUAUAUAGUCAAUUCGAAAAUUUUAUUAUCGAAAACAACUUAUGAAUACAAAGACCUUCGUAAAUAUGUAUGAGUGUCGGUGAAACGCAUUUGAAUUACUCUCGUUCAGGUUCACGUUCCUGGUAGCGGAGUUGUGCUUGCUCGCUGCAUCGGUUCGCAACGCAUACCACACGCGGUACCUCACCGUCUUCGGGAACGGCCCCCCGUCGUGCGAGACGGUGCGGAAGGGCGUGUUUGCGGCCGGUGCCGCCUUCGUGUUCUUCACCGCGGCCCUUGCCGAGCUCCACUACGCCUUCUACGCCAAGGCCCGGGCCGCCACCCUAUUCCCGCCGGCGGCGGCGGCGGCGGCACCGCCUCAUCGAAAGGAGUCUUCCAUUGGAAUGACCUCCUUGUCAUAGGUGUUCGACGAAAUGCCUAACUAAUGUUGUCAAAGUUUGCUGUGUUCUCUGUAUUACAAGUCUAGAUAGAAAACUUCUGAAAGAAUGUAGAAUUUCGUAUUCUUAAGUUAUUUUCGAUGAUGGAACAUGUGAAUCGAGGAUCAGAUUAGUUAGAUACGAUCAAACUUUUAUAAUUUUUCUGUAGUGAUCAAAAUAUCUCAAAAUUGUAAAUUUUAAUGGUCAAUAUGAUACACUUGAAAGCCUCACACUGUAGAACAAUCCAAAUCAUAUUAAAACUGUUCAUUUUUUUAAUAAAAUUUUUAUUCGCAAUCGUACAUUUUGAGAUUAUUUACUCAUUUGGCAAAAAAUAUCGAAAAAUUAUAAAAUUUGAUUUUAAAUACUUUUCAUAGUGUACAUGUCUAACAUGGCUGAUAGCCAAUUCAGAUGUUCCACCAUCGAAAAUAACUUAAAAGUAUAGAGAUUUUUGUGCUUCUAAAAAUAUAUUAGCUGAAUCUCUUACAUUAUUUAGCUUACUAGAAAAAAAAUAGAAGUAAAAAUAUGUAUAUUGUUGCAUUGUUGUAGUGUUACUAAAUUUGGUGACAAUAUAUCUAAAACAAGCAAAAUGUUGGAUAUUGAGAUUGUGAGACUAUGUUUUGGUUUUGUUUUGUUGGAAUGAUUCUUACUAUAAUUGACUUAUUUGUUAAUUUAUCCAAAAUCAUUAAUUAGUAUUAAUUAUAAUUUGAUUAUAAAUUAAAGAAAAGCAUAAACAAAUCAAGCAAUUUAUGUCACAUAUAUUUGUUUAGUAGUAGGUAAAAGCUAACAGCAUGCAAAUGCAUGUUAAAAUCAUAAUUAAUUUAGGCUUCUAAUGUUUCCAUUAAUUUGUUUCCGUAAAUAAUAAUAUAUUGAUUUAGUCGCGUUGUAUUAGUUUUGAAAAAAUUUCUAUGGGUAAAUUGGAAAAUAAAAAAUAUAUAUUAUUAGAUUAAAAAACUAAAAAAGUAAAAACAUGUAUAAUUUUUCGAACCAUGUGCUACUUUAAAUUUACUAUCUGAUUUUUUAAAUUUAUUUGAAUUGAGUGAUUUAAGUGUACUUAGACUUUAAAAUUUAAGUUAAUUUUUUUUACUUUAAUAAAUUUAUAGUUGUAAAGAUUAUAUAAAAUAUACUAACUAAAUCUAUAAAGUUAAACGACGCAUUCAAAUUUUAAAAUUAAAAUAGUAUUGAUUGAUUCUAAUUAAAUAAAUUAAAAAUCUAGAUAGUAAAAUUAAAAAUUUUGAAAUAUUAUAGUCAAUUCAAAAUGUUUAUAUUAGUUUUUAGGAAUAAUUGUCUAUAUAUCCUUUAAAACUUCAGAAAUAUUUCAUUUACCCAAACUUUUUUUUCUUUCUAAUAUAUUCCUCAUAUGUUCCUCCGUUAUUCCAAAAUACUACUGCAGUUACCACCUGUUAAGUUAACUUGGAUUAAAUGUGAGUUAAAUAUCUACCACAGUUAAAAAUAAUGAAAUGUCACUUUUACUCUUAACAAAUAAAAAAUAUUGGUGAUGGUAGAAGGGUAUAUAUUUGAAAAGACUAAAAAAUAAAAUACUUUUAUGUCCCUAACUUAAGGGUAAAUAAGAAAAGUCGGUGAUAAUAAAAGGGUAUAUUUGAAAGGGCAAAAUAGUAAUCUUAUAGAAAUAAUAGAGUUCAUUAAUAGAUUUUAAUUUUAAGAGUAUAUUUGAAAUAAGUUGGAACGUAAAAAAAAUAUUUUUAAUAUUAAUGAGUAAAUCAGAAAAUUGAAAAUUUUUCGGAGAUAUAUAAGCAAUUGUCCUUAAUUUUUAAUUAACAGGAUUAUCU